UUUUUUUUUUUGUAUAUGCAACUUGGGUUGUUCUUUAAGUGAAGAUAAAGAGAGAGGGACUGGAGAGGAAACUCUUUGAACAAGUAACUAAGAAUAUAUUUGCUUGUUACAAACAUAUAUAUAUAUAUAUAUAUAUAUAUAUAUAUAUAUAGAUGUAUAUUGGAUUUCAAAGAGGUUAAAUUAUAAAGUUAGUCCAUGUACUUAAAUAAAAUUUAAGAUUUUAUCUUUAUACCUCAAUAGUUUUACAAUUUCGAUUUUUUUUGUAUGAUCAAAGUAUCAUUCAUAUUUAUUUCGAUUUUUUUUUUGUAUAAUCAAAGUAUCAUUCAUAUUUAUUUUAUGGUCAAUAAAAUUAACUUUUUUGAAGUUAUCAUCUCCAAAAUUUGAAUCUAAAUUCUUGAGGUUGGAUUUAAAAUUUUUAAUAUAAUAAUAUACUAUUAUUAAUUAGGAUUUUUUUUAUCAAAAUCUGUCAUUGAUACACCCAUCCAAUUAUGCUAUAUUAUUACUGCAUGUGCCUCAACUCUGCUAUGGGCUAACCAAAGUGGUAGCAUACUCUCCCAUCAUUCACCUAUAUGUCAUAGGUUUUGGAAUCGAGUCACAUCAUACACAAACUCUUCAAUUUGUUGUGAUUUUUUUCUGUUCAAGCACUUCGACACACUUUUACUCUAUAAACUUGAUAUGACUCUCGACAAUGUAGGAAGACAAAAUCCUUAUCAAGAACAAUAUCAAACUUAUCGAAAGUUCGACCUCUUAACUUAAAAAACAAAUCAUUAUAAUUUCAAUAAUCAUACUUAAUAGUAAGUAAAUUUUAACAAAAACUACUUAUACCUUCAACAAUUAAACUAAAAAUUUAAAUAAAAAUAUAUUUUUUAAAACUUUUAAAUAACGGGAUUAAAUCUUAAAUUUUAGCAAAACAUAAGUAGUGAAUAUAAAUUUUUACCCAAGCCAAAACUUCAAGUGCAAUACUACUACUAUUGGUUUAUUUUCAAUUCAAUAAAGGAACAAACUUUCUUUAAUAAAGAGAGGACGCUAAAGAUAUUCCGGCUGUUUCUUUAAUAUGUGCUGAAGAAGGGGUAAUUGCACUUUGCUUUGUAAUGAGAGAAAGUAAGAUUUUGGCUGCCAUUGCUUACUGUGCAUCGUUUGUUUAUUCAUCAAUCAUUGGAUUGGACUGAUUUUCUAGACAGAAAAAUUCGAAGGGGUAGGUAGGGUUUUGCCCCUUUAGAACAAAUAGUGAAAUUACCCCCCACGCAUGGCCUUUAGUCACCCCUAACACGUCUCUUUAAUGGACCGUACCUUAUAUAUAUAUAUAUAUAUAUGUGAGUGAGAUAAUCUAAAGAAGACACUGUAAAAUAAACACUCAAUAAUUUCUAUAUUUUAAAUUUUUUUAAAUAAGUAUAUAUUUUUAUCCCUUUAUAAAUUUAUUUAUUUUCUUUUCUUAUCUUAUCUUAUCUUAGAUCCCUUUAAUUAUAUAAAAUUGUUAGCUAUGGUCAUGAAGUAACCCGUUUCAAACAAGUUUAUAAGCUUAUCAGCUUCUUCUUUAUUGAGAACAUAUGAACAAAAUUGCAUGAUUAAAGAAAAUAGGGAAUCAUGGUGGGACAAGUUCACAAUCUUUGCUGAAAUCAGUGUAACCUAUAUUUGGUUGUUGAAGCUGGUUUAGAUAUUGGUUAAAAUAUGACAUAAGUCCUUAUACUUUUCACAAAUUUGUAAUUUAGUCCAUAUACUAUUAUUUCUAAUAAUUUAAUCUCUCUAUUUUUCAGAUUUUAAAAUUCAGGUCCGAUUAUUAACAAUGUUUUUUUUGUUAAAUUUAUUGGUGUGGCAUUUUAGAAUAAAAAAACUCAUUUGGUAGCAAUGCAACUGAAAAAAAUGACGUUGUAAUAAACCUAAAUUUAACAAAAGUGAAGAGACUAAAUUUAUAGAAAUCUAAAAAAUGGAGAGACUAAAUUUUAAAUUCACAAAAAGUAUAGGGACUUGCACAGACUUUAACCUUAGAUAUUUAAGAUUAGUGGUCAAAGUUGAGGGCUUUGCAGGCGAUUUUGGGAAGACAAAAAGUAAUGGGGGUUUCAACAUUGGGAUUAGAGCAAAAGCAAAUUCAGCACUACAAUGUUUUCCCACAUGCCAUCUGAUGUGGUUAAUGAUAGGAUUUUGAAAAAAAUGAAAUAUAAAAAAAGUUGAAAUCUGAUUCAAAUCUUAAUGUUUACUUUAUGACUUCAUUUGAAUAAAAAUCAUAAUUAGUUUUGGAAUUUUUUAUAACCAAAUAAUUUAGUAAUUAAUUUAUUAAUAAGUUCACAAUAAUUUUUUAUAUGAGAGAAUUUAAACACGAGUUCAACCUUGUCAAUACAGUCAUACUAUUAAUAUUACAACACAGGAGUUGGGCUAAGAUGGAGGCAUUUCAUGCCACUAUAAUUACAGCAGAAUCAAGUCUAUAUCUCCUUCCUCCCAUUUUACCUCAAUUUUGAGGGAAAGCGGUUAGGCAUGGACCUCAACCGUCCCUAUUCAUGCUGUAACAGGAUAAUGAAUGUCAAUCCAGGGUACUGUUUGGAGUUAACCUGAGGGAUCGGACGAGAUAUAUGUGGGAUCUUAUGGAUAGAUAAAUGUCUUCAUGGGUUUUUCUUUUGAUUUGAUGAUUUAACUAUCACUCCCUAGUUAAUGGGAUUGGUCUAAAUCUGAUUUGAUGGUGGAAUGUCGUCUUUAUUCCAUCGCUUUGCUUUUUCUUUUGUUUUCCUUUAACAAAAGUAGAGUAGGGAUUCAGUGUCUGUCUGUUAACUGUUGGUGGAAGGACACUUUGGACAUCCCAAAAGAUGUGUUCAAACAUUAGACAAAAAAAUAUUAGAUCAUAUUGGUAGAGUUUGGUGAGACGAUUGAGAGCAUAUGCAAAAGUAGAUUAAAACUUGCGUUUCUUUUAGUUACUAAAUGGUGAUCUUUUUGGAAUUUUUAAAAAUAUAUUUAAAUUAUUUGAUAUGUAGCAUUUUUGGUCUGUUAGACUUGAUCAUGGGCCGGGCCGGUAGCCCAAAGACUCUCCUGAAAAGUAAGAGUGUUUGAAAAAAUAUAAGCUCGAAAAAUGAAAAUAAAAAAAAAUAAAACCUAUUUAGAAAACAAGUCAAGCCUCAAGUAAGCUUUUUCGGCUUGGGCCCAACCCAACUCAAAUUUGCAAAAACAAAAUUGUAGUUGUUUUGCCACUAUUUUGCUGUCAUUCACUAUUAUAUUGCUACUAUCUUUUUAUUAUUGUUUAAAUAUUGUAUAACUCUUAUUUUAUUAUUAAUUUUACUAGUAUUUUAGAGAUAUUUUCUUGUUAAGUUACACAUAUCUUAGUGUUAUUUAAAUAUAAAUAUUUUUUAAUUUAUUUUAAUUUGUUGGGAAACAUUUAUUUUAAUGUUUAGUCUAUUUGAUGUAUUAUAUUUUUAAAUUUAUUUUUAUCUAAAAAAAUUUAAUACAGGAAAGUCGAGCUCAAAUUUUAGCUUUUUAUUCGGGUCAAGUUUGGGCAAAACUUUAAGCCCAUUUUUCAGGCCAAACCGAGCCUAAGCCUAGGACUGAAAUUUUGUUACAACCCAACUCGAACCCGCCCCAUUAUCACCUCUACUCCAUGCAAUAAGAUACUUUGAUUCUUUAAAUAUAUAACUUUUUGAUUAAUCAAUCUCCUUUGGAUAAAAAAAAUUCCAUAUGUUAGAUAGGGUUUAAAUUAGGCAUAUAUAUCUACACUUGAGCUCUUAACUUAUUCUCAUAUAUCUAUUAUCAUUUAGGGUAAAUUAUUUAAUGUCACAUCCAAAAAAACCAAGUUAAUAGAAAUUUGGUUAAUGAGACCAGUGGUUACGUCCUAUUUUUGAGUUAAGAUUGUGAAAACUUUUGUACUAGGAGUUGGAUUGCAUUUUAUCUUUUCCACACAAAAUAAGCAAAUUAAUCCCUAUAUGUUAAAUCAAAUAGUAAAUUGAUCCUUCUAUUAAAAAUUUCAUCUAUUUUUUACUAUUAAAAACUGGUCCCUAUAUAUCAGCAUAAAUUACACAUGGCACAUCACACGUCAUUGUUUGGUUAUUUUAACGUAAAAACGAAUAAAUUUUUUAAUAAAAAAUGACAAAAUGCAAUCUAACACCUAGUUUAGGAGCCUAGUAUGGGCGGUGCGUUUACCUGUGAUUAGUGUAAAAACAAUAAUGGCGGUGAGAUUAGAUACUGUAACGAUACUAUAACGUGAGACAAAAAGUAAGCUAAACACACUGUACCGCACCCCACCGCCCAUCCAAUUAUCGAUACAAUACCAACUAUACUAACAACAUCAAUAUUCAACUCAACAGACUGCAUUAACCGAGCCCAUAAUUCAGGACAAAAAGCAACUAGGUAUGAGGUUGGUAAACAUUAGCCAAUCGGAUUAUUGAAAGGGUAAUAGCGAAGCCCUUAAUGAGUUCUCAGAAGUACCAGAAACAACAAAUAAAUAAAAGAAAGCAAAAGCAUUGGUCAUUUAUUAGACCGACAAGAAUAGUGUAUAACAAGAAAAUUGCAAAUUAGAGUUCCGGGAUCUAUCUAUGUUUACCGUUUUGCUUUUGCGUAAACUCCCCAGAUAGAAUGAUCCCACAGCAACAACACAAGUUCAUCAUGUAAUGGAUAAAGCUGAGGCUACUUAAGAUGGUGAUCAAACAAGGAAGCCAUCUCAAUCUGCAAUACAAUCCAAAAGAAAUUGAACUGUAAGCACUUUUUCCUCAUUGCUGUGCCUUGACAACAUGUAUGAGACAAAAUGAACAAUUUAUCUGCCAAUUUAUUCAAUGACAGAGAAGCAAGGGUAUCAGGAGCAAAAAAGGAGCUGCAGAUGCUGGGAUUCAAAUCCUAACUAUGACUAUAUGAAUCAACUUUAAUAUGUGCAAUGCAAACAAGGCAAUGAUAUUAUAUCACUUUCUUAAUUCCUUCAUUAGAAAUAGAACACAUAAAUGGAUAUAUGCAAAUUUUUGAAAAAAGAAAUAUGAAUGGAGAAUUAAGGAGAAAUCAUGGAGUUGGUAAAAUCAUCUUUGAAAAGCACAAAAGCAAAGGAAUAUGGAUUGACUGAAAAGGUAUGCACAACUUUCUUGCAAGUUAACAAGGGAGUUAAUGCACUUUGCAGUUAUAAUUAUUCUCAUUAUUAACAGAAUCAAUCAAGUUAGCAAGGGUUCUAUGCCACGCAUCAAACCAUUGAAAUAACCCGAAAGUACCAAAAGCCAAAGGUGAUUGAGAAUAUUGCUAAGAAAUGGGAAUGUAUAGUGUUCGGGUUAAAUGGUCUCAACCCUACCCUUGUGCUGGAAAAGUUCGCAACAAGGACCAACAGGCUCACUCAUUAGCGACAGUGAGCUAGGGGAAGGUAAUCCUUUUCUCUAUUUACAUACCUACAUACCUCCAGUCAACUCCUAAUAACUAAAUUGGAAUUACAAACAAUAAAAAAUAUAUAUAUAUAAUAAUAAUAAUAAUAAAAGAGAGAAGAAAAUCAAAUACCAACUCCAUUAGUCUACAAUCAACUUACCGCUGUCAAAGCACACUCUGCACCUUUGUUCCCAGAUUUACCACCAGCUCGAUUUAAUGCCUACAGUUGUCAUGUGAAAUAAUUACAUAAAAAUUCCACUCUUGAAAUCAUUUUGUUUCUUCAAUUGCAUCCAAGAAUAAAAGAUGUCAAACUCCUCACACAUUCAAAUAUAUCAACUCAAUCUUCAAAAAAGAUGAAGUGAGAUACAUAUAUAUCAUCUCAAAACUACUCUAAAGUAAAUGACACAUCAGUCACUUGGUAGUUGGUAUGCACAACCUACAAGAUGACCAGAUUUCCCCUCUCUCUGACAUUCCAAUAUUCAAUGUGAAGGAAACUAGAGAGGGUACCCCACUAUAUCUGUUUGUGAAGCUUUAGUGAACAGCCCAUCUCACUUAACAAAAAAAACCUAUAGUUCUUAGUACAAAAUGAUCUUUUAUCCAGCUCCUGUAACAUACCUGGUCCAUGUCCUCACAAGUCAAAACACCAAAUAUGCAAGGAACACCUGCAGAGUUGAUAAAUUGCAGCUUCAAAUCACAAGGAAUAAUAAAAACUGAAAAAUAGAGGGAAUGGGUGACUCCAUUUUGAUACAUGAAAACUUCCAGAAAAUCGUUUCCUACAGAAAAUAUUUUUUUAAUCUUUAGGGCAUGAGAUUGAUACAGAUCUUAAUUGACAACUGCUACAAGGAAAUUUGUCCUCCUAGUUUGGAAGUAGGGUAAUUUUAAACUUUUAAAAAGAAAAAGAAUCUUGCAAUGUGGUCUCUUGCGCUUUCUAAUUGAAACAAUUAGGAAAAUAAAUAAAUUAUGUACUUAAAAGAUUAUCAUAAUAGAAUUAUGUAGUCAGGUAAGAGUAAAAUUCUCAAACAUUAUGAAUAUAGGGUGAAAAGUAGGAGUCACCUUGGAAAGAGCACAUACUAAAGAUGGUAUACUUCAGUCUAAAAACAAACUGUAAGUAUGCCAGACAUAGUUUACAAUAUUGACAGCAUGAAAAAGGUUCAACUGCAUAUGCUUUUGAUCAAUGAAAAUCUAAAUAUUGUCUUAAUUUAUAGUUGAGAUGCCACGAACAAUUGACUCUUCAAGCUAUGGUAGCAUUUUGCAAGAAAUGGGUUAAUACAAAAUAACAUUAAGCAUGAAGAUUGACCAGAGUUUAGGCCAGCUGAAAGCACCCCAGAUGCAACAGAAUUAGCCACGGCAUCAUAGUGAGUAGUAUCUCCUCUUAUCUGUUGGCAGAAUUAAUAAAAUCCAGCAAAAUGUACUCAGAAAAGACCCCCCACAAGCAGAUAAAAAGUUAUAUGAGAAGAUUUCCAAGAAAGAUGAAAGAAACCAUACCACAGCUCCGAUACAUAAAAUUGCAUGAUAAUUUCGAGACUUGCCCAGCCUUUCUGCAACAAUACCUAUUUCAAAACUACCCGGGACCCAAACAACCUGAUAAGAAAGUGAAGAAUUGAUCAAGCCAUCCAAAAAGUUGGCUAAGCAUUGUCUAAAUAUUAAUUGAAGGACUUGGUCAAAAGAUUCAUAUGCUGAAAAAGGGCUUGUAAUAAGUAAGAUGAUAUACAGAGCAAAUCAUGAAUCAUAGAAGAAAAAGACUUUGAUAGCAUUGCCAUCAAAUGAGAACGGCAGAGAUACCCUACUCCUAUAUCCUUGUCUUUUGAGCUGCAAUUGUCUAAAUAAUUGUUAGAAUUUGCAGCCAUAGCAGAAGAGAAAGCUCAGACAUGUAGAUAGAUUCAAAGAAAAAGCAGACGUCUAACUCGAGAUAGAGAUAUGAGACAGCUUUUACUUUAGUAAAUUAAGUAGAAGGGUGGUUUGUGGUUGUUACACACAUCAAUGUCUUCUUCAUUAACUGAAUACUUUCUGAAAGUGUCCAGAGCGCCCUCCAAGAGCUGCCUUGUCACAAUCUCAUUGAAACGAGCGACAACCUUUGACAAUGUAAUAAAAAAUUGAAGAAGAAAACAAUUACCAUUGUAAUAACAUAAUAGUAUGAAAACAAUUGAACACACAAAAAAAAGGAAGGCAAAGUCAAUCUUUGACUUUGUAGUUGCAGAUGACAAUUAAAUAAAAAACUGACCACAGCAAAGCGAAGGCCUUGAGUUUUGGUAACAGAUCCCACCAAAUGGCGGACUGCAGCCGUUUGCAUAGAGGAGGAGCUCUGCUUCCUAUCCACCACAAAUCCUGAUUUUAUCAAUAUAUAUUAGUAAUUAUAUCCAAUAAUCCAAAGCAAAUGCUCUCUUCACUUUCCACUGUAAUAUACCGAGUUUCGGAGAAAACAAUUAAUAAAUUUCGGAGCCAAUUAUUUACUCUGUUUCCUAUAAAUUCAAAUACCAAUUGCAAGUCUACGAAAACAAAACUGUAGAUGUUUGAAAACGUGAAGAUAAGGGUCAAGGUAAUUGGUUUCGUUACUGCCAUAACUUACUUGAGCUAACCUCAAUCACUAAGAAAGUAUAAAUCCAAAUCCCACAUUUCUCUUUCCUUUUAGUUUCUUAGUGCUGAAGAGUGAAAUUUUCCAUUUCGAAAACAAAUUCUAUGAAUUCCCAGAACGAAAGAGAAAACAACCCUAGAGAAUUUCCCAACCUCGUGCAUCAAAUCGAAGGAUGACAACCCUAUAAAUUUCCAAGACAAUCUUAAACAAAACUGAGAUUCAAGUUUUAAUUGAAGCACCAAAAGCAGGACAUGCGAUUCAAAAAAAAUAAUAAACAAAGAUAACCUUGGAAUUGAAAGGAAGAGGAAAAGGAGAGAGCGGUUGACUUGCGGGGCAAAAUGACAGCAGAGGACCUACUCCUGGGAGCGAGGAACACACUACAUCCAUUUCUACUUAAAAUACGCUCCUGAAUCCAACAGCAACCAUUUCCAUUUAAAGCCAUUUCCUUCUCUUUCCUCUCUAUUCUUCUCUGCAAUAUUCGAUUUGAUUUUUGAUUGCUGGGCCCUCUCUCACUGUUUUAGCCUUCUAAUCUUUUACUAGUACCAGCAAAAAUAAUAAUUAAAUUUCCUCAAAAACAAACAAUAAUAAUUAAAUAAUAUUAUAUCUAAUAUAAUUUAUCGGGUAAACUACAAGAAUAGAGUUACCCAACUAAGCUUUGGUUCUAUUUUAAUUAUCCAAUUAUUAAUUUUUUUAUUUAGUUACUCAAUCUUUUAUUCAUCAGAUAUGUUCAGAUCAGAAAGGAAACCAACAAGAUUUCUCAUAAUUCGACAAGCAAGCCAAGAAAUGAACUGAUGAACAAGCAAUUCAAGCCAAAAAUCAUGCUAUAACAACUAGCUUAAACGGGAUAUGAAACAAUUUCAAAGCCUAACAUCUAAAUCAAAGAGACAGAAUCACGUAAAUCGCAUUGCAUUGGUUUCUUUACAUUCUUAUUUUUUUGGUUGUUGCCUGAAAGAUUGAAAAGCAAAACCGAAACAGAAAUUUGAAUACCUUCGAAGAUAAUCGCAGUGGAACCCGUGAGAGAAUUUUGAAUUUGAACCAAAACGGACGAAAGAGUAUCAAAGGGAAAUAUUUAGGCCAACCAGAGAGAGAUUGAGACCAACGCGAAUUUGUUUAAGUGAGAAAAGUGCCAAAAUUAAAUUUUUUAUUUAUAAUAGUUUAAAGGGUAAACUACAACUAAAGUCAUCAAACUAUUAGUAAGUUUACAAUUUGGUCAUUGAACUUCAAAAGAUUACAAAAUUAUCACUAAACUAUUCGAAAGUUCUAGUUUAAAUGAUUUCAGUGACCAUUUUAUAAAAGUUUAAAGUUUAAUGAUCAAAAUGCAAAUUUACAAAGGGAAAUAUUAGUUACCGAAGUUACAAGUAGGGGCGGUUUGAAUUUUGAACAUUGGCGGGAUUCACUGAAAAGCAUCGCACCAAUCAGUACUAUAAACAAGAAAUGCUGCUCCUUAAAAUGGUUAUUAACGACUUGGAUCUCUGCUAUUGUUUGCGGAAAUUGUGGAGAACAGUAGAAUUUUUAAGGGGUGGGGGAGGAUCGGUGGCGUCGAAGGAAAAACUGCGAGACGAUGCCGGAUCUUCUUCUCGACCUCUGUUUAGGUACCCUAAUUACUUGCAUAAUUAUCAUGUUUAAAUAUUACUUUAAUUUUUUGUUUAAAAAGCAUGCGCCGAAUCGUUUGCUUGCUUGAAUUCUUUAUUUUCCCCCUUAGUUUAAGUGAUUUUGAAUCGGUCUGGUUAAUGAUAGAAUCAUAAUAGUUGAAAUGAUCUUGAAUUCUAUAAGGAUCGGUGUCGUCGAAAUAAAAACCUAGGGAAAAACUGCGAGACGAUGCCAGAUCUUCUUCUCGAUCUCUGUUUAGGUACCAUAAUUACUUGCAUGAUUAUCAUGUUUAAAUAUUACUUGAAUUGUUUGUUUAAAAAGCAUGCACCGAAUCGUUUGCUUGCUUGAAUUCCAUUUUUUUUGUUCUUAAUUUAAGUGAUUUUUAAUCGGUCUGGUUAACGAUAGAAUCAUAGUAAUUGUAAUGAUCUUGAAUUCUAUAUGGAAUAUUGCUUGACGUAACAGAUUUUCAGAAAAGAAAUCCAAGUUAUCCGCUGAAAGAGCUGAUUACCAAUCACAGCGUUCCCUGAUAAACUAUUGCAAUUCAUAGCUGCCGAUAUUGGUUUUUAUUGAUAAUUCAUUUUUAGCUUGUGCCUUUCGGUAUCUAAUUUGUUUCUAAGGACAGAUUUUUCUCAUUUGAGCUUCAAACUUGCUUCGAGUGCAGUUCUUUCUUAUUGCUUUAUAAGAUUUGUAUGCUUUUUUUCUGCAUGUUUGAGCCUUCUACUAGUGCAUAUGAUAUAUGUGCCCAAAUUGUGCAUAUUCAAAAUUUUCUAAAAUUUUAAAUAUGUUUAGAGGUUCAUGCUUACGUAUUCAUGUUUGAAUAUGUGUCAAAGGUUGUUAUUCAACAUGGGUAUUUUAGGAAAAAUAAAAGGUCCGGGUAACAUAGUUAGUGGCUUGUAUUUUAAGUGACUGUCUAUAUUAGUCAGUCUAGGAGUGUUUGACAUAAGAACGUUAAAUUUAUUUUAAAUUUUUCAUGUAUUUAGAGGGUCAUUCGAGGAUCAUAUCUCCUUUUCAUGGUUUGAUAUACUUCCAAUGCAAGUAUUUUUAAGCGUCGGAACAACAUAAGUGACUUUUAUGUGCUUAUAUCCGAAGAACCAAAUAUCUAUAUAUUGAUUUAUUGAUGCACAUCUAGUGUAUAAUCUGCCUUAACGAAAGAGUCUCGUAUUGGACUAUACCUAAUAACAUAGCUGUAUAAUCUUACGUAGUGGGAACCCUGAACUGGAAUAAUCCCAUCUAAGAAAAAUGCCUAUAGAAUAGGAUGACACCUAAAUUUACACUCUUUACAUAAAAAACGAAUGGUGUGAAAGGGGUCAGAAAAACCAUGCCGACCACACAAGCUAAAACACCAUAAAUUACCUCUAGAUUAAGCUUAGCACACAUCAUAAUUGGAUUGGACUCUGUUAUUUGGUGGCUUGCCAAUCUGUAAACAAGCAAUUGGAGGGACAGUAGGAGUGGUCAACUCUCCAUAACUUUGCCAACAGAAUGGAUCGUAUAGGUGGUAGCGUUCCUGCAUUGGCUUUAGCUGAAUGGCAGAUAAAGUCACCCCUAUACAUGGAAGGCUGUCACUACAGGCCAAGUGCACAGGUUUUACCGUGUAUGUUCCUCUUAUUUUUUCGUAGGUAAUUCCUGAUAGAGCGACUGCUGCUGUUUGGUUCUUACAUGUUCUUUUGUCACAAUAGAAUUGAUCGAUCACAAUUGGAAGCUGGACCUCAGAAACUUGAAUGUUUGAGAAUAGAACCCCUUGAACAUUGCCUGAUCCACCCUGCAGAUGUAAUUUGAAGUAAUAUACAAGAAACUGCUUACUAGCCAUCUAGAUUCAUAUAAGAACUUAGAACGUUAGGAAAUUAAAUUGAUUCUUUUUCCUUAGCAAUGGGAAUGGACAGGAGUUUUAGGUCUACUGGACCAAUUAAUAGGAAAGUGAAAAUUCAAAAUAAUCAAACUUGUUGGAAAUUGUCAAAUCCUGUAUGUUAAGUUUGGAAUAGGAUUAUUUCUUGGAAUGGAGGUAAACUAGUGUUGAAUAAUUUAAAUGUCAACUUUGUUGUGGCAAACCUCGGACAUACAUGUAAACAACACGGAUAACUAAUUUUAAAUUCGGGGAAAACUUGAAUUAGUUGUAAUAGAUUGCAUUUGAUCAGUCAUUUUACUUUUAGUGUCUGUAUAAUUUGAAUUUGGGUGGGGGUGGUAUAUGGAUUUGAUUAUCUAGUCAAAUAAUCUAUACUAUUAUAAAGCUGUUGAUUGAGUUUGUUGCAUAGCUAACUUGAUUUCAACUAGGUCAUGUAAAUUACUUAAAACCUAAAUUAAUAUCGCAAUCAAAAAUAAAGGGUAUUUAAGUCUUUUAAUGUUUCAUAAGUAACUACUAAAACAUAAUUAAUUGUUUAAAACUACUUUUACAUUUUUAAAUUUUAUCUAAAUUUCCUUUUAAAAUGUAAUUAUUCUAAAAAAAAUGUUUUUUCACCCACUAAUACUAUUAUGUUUGAUGAAUUUUAGUUUAUCUUAAUUUUUGUUCACCUAUCUCUCUUUUUCAUGAUUUUCGCUGUCUUCUUUUUUUCAUUUUACCAAAAUCAUGUACUUGAGUUUGUUGGUGGCUUGCGAUAUAUAUUAUCUGAAGACAUCUUGUUAACGAGUUAUGGUUUGGAUUUAAUUAAAAGCCAGUUCAUUAGCUCAUUUACCUAGACCAUGUUUGUGAUUGCUCUCUUCCAAACUUGAUGUACGUUUAUGAUGUGGAAGUGAAGAUUGUAAGCUUACCUGCCAUGUCUUUAUUCUGACACCGUUCAUUGUGUUAUGCAUCAUGAUAUCACGGACAGUGAUGUUUGAGACACAGGCUUUUGUAUUAUCCUUUCCCAAGCUUCCAAUGCUGAUUCCAUGUCCCGGUCCACAAUUCACAUUGUGAAUGUAUACAUUUGAGCAUCCUGUUUGUAUCGAAACGCAGUCAUCUCCUGCAUCAAUUAUCACAUUUAAAAGCUUAGGUUAGUAUGUAAAUGUUCAUUGUCACUAAUCUCUGAUCAAAACUGAUUUAAUUUAAGCAUUUAUUUCCUGCCAAAAGCAUUAGAUCUUCAGAAUUAACUUGUCAUGAUAACCUGCUUCUGGGCAAAAUUUAGACAAGAAGCUAAGGGAUUCUUCAUUUUUGAAGUAUCCGCGUCCUAGCAUGUUCGGAUAGAAGUAUACAUACCGUAUGUAACACUCACAUUUGAAUCUUAAAUUCUAAAUACCAUAAGCUAGGGAUUAAAGGAAAAAUCUAGUUGUACGUGGAGACAAAAGGAAAAAAUGAAUGAAGAAAACAAAAAAUAUAUUCUUGUUGCCUAUGCAGUUGAAAUCCUAAUCCUAUUUUGGGUGGUUGAUGCCACACCAUUCUUUAGAAAAUGACACGUGUCAAGUGAUUAGUCAUUGUAAUCCUUGAAAAUUUUGAUAGUGCUGGCAGCCACUUUGUCAAAUUAUUGGUGGGGAUAGAGAAUGAGAACGUAAUUAUGAGCAGGAUAAGAUUGUGAUAUGUUUCUUUCAACAUCCUAUCAAACACCCCUCAAUUUAGCACCUUUUUCCUACGAUGCUGUGGAAAAUGUUGGUAAAAAUAAAUAUUAUGUAUUAGGAGUUAAAUAGUUUUUUUGUCGGUAAUUUAAGUUUUAUAUGUUAAAAUAAAGAGUAAAUUGGUCACUUUUAUUUCAAACUUUAUCUAUUUCUAUUGUUAAAAAUAACCAUACAGUUAUGCAUGGCGUACCAUAUGUACUUCAUACUGACAUGUAAUAACCAAUUUUUAAUAGUAAAAAUGGAUAGAGAUUUUAACAGAAGAACCAAUUUACUUUUUGAUCUAAUAUAUAAUGACUAAUUUAUCAAAUUUUUUUAUAAAGGGGCCAAAAACAAUCCAACUCCUAGUACAAUACCUCCAUGAUAAUUUUACCUCAAAUUGUUCACAAGUUCUUUUAUCUUAACCCCGUGUCUCUCAAUGUUGACCCGCAUGUCUUUCUCAUUUUUUGUCGAGACCUAUGCUGUUUGGAUUUUUCAUCUGAUUAGGACACCUACUUGUGUCCGAUAUCCACACUAAAACCCCAGUAACAUAAGUCAAAACCAGAGUUUAAAGUGCUCCACCAGUGUUUUUUAACUUAAUUUGGUAUUAUGGCAAAGGCAUAAAUUUCUAUUUACUAGCAAGAUAUUGAAAUAAAUUACCGCAGGCAAGAGUAGUGCCAUGAAUUAGCACAUCUUUGGAAUUCUGUAGGUGGAUUCCAUCUGUGUUAGGACUGUCCCCUGGAGAUGAGACGGACAUGUCGUGUACCACAACUCCUAUGCAAUUAUCAAACUUAAGAUGGCAUUGUGGACUGUUUUGAAUUGUUAUGCCCGUGACUGUCACAUUAAAGCUCCCAUAAAACCUUAGUGCCUGAACAACAGAAUGUAAGAAAAAAAACCAUCAUAAGACUGCAUAAUCAUGGAAUAGAGAUUGUUUUUUUCUUUUCCUCAUAGUUUCAAGUGGUCCUUACAGUUGGUUUGAUGCUAGGCAUUUUUCCACUGAGUUCAUUUCUGACCUACCAUCCAAUUUAUAAGAGAAACAUGAUUAGUUUUAUUGAUAAAUCAAAGGUUAAUGCACCUGAGAAGUCCCUGUAUUAUAGAGACUAGAUCAAAUUAGCCACUCUAUUAUUAAAUGAAUCAAAUUAGUCCUUAUACUACUAAAAAGAAUAAAAUAAGUUCAAUUUGUAACAGAGUAAACAUUUAUUGUAUAAAAAUAUCUUGAAAAUUAUUUUAUUCAAUUACAAUUCAAUUCCAAACUGAAUAUUUCAUUUAUAGAACCGUAAAAACUUUUAAAAUAUUAACUUUCUUGAACAGUAAAUGUUAAUUAUAUUCCAAUUUGACCUUAUUUUAUUUUUUUAAUAGUAUAAAGACUAAAUUGAUCCAUUUAAUAGUAGAGGGACCUCACCAUAAAUUAACACUAGAGUUUCAGGGGAAAGUGGAAAUUGAAGUAGGUACUUACCGGCAUUGGUGGCCGUUCUUGAACUGUAUUCUUUAAUGGGAUUAUUAAUUUUCUUUCAUCAUCAUAUGGAUCUUCAUAUGGUGCUUCUAGCCACCACCCUGAUCCUCUUCCAUCAAUGAUACCUUUUCCCUGAACUGUUAUACCUUUCAGCUUUGUGAAUUCUAGCCACUGUAAAAUACCUUUGCCCCAGGGUUUAGAAUCAGUCGGAGCAAUAAUUGUACCAUCCAGCUGAGAAAACAAAAGAAAUUCAGUUACAUCAGCCUUGAUCAUGUGACAAUUCUUCACUAGUAUGCGAUUGCUGUGAUACAUAUCCAAAUAUGAGUGGAGAGAUAUAACCUUUUAAGAGUCGCCAAAUGCAUAUAACUACAAUGGGGUAAAGAGCAAUUAAUUAUCUCACAUGUUACCUGAAACACAGUGUUUGCUUGACAGUAUGGACCAGAGAAGGAAAUGGGUCCUACAAGGAAGAUGAAUUUAGCAGGAACGACAACAGUUGAUGCCUCCACCUUACAUGCAGCUGCCCAUGCGGCUUGGAAUGCCUGCUUUGCACCAUUAACAGAUCAGCUAUGUGGCUGCGAUUGUCUGAUCAGUGUGCCACAAUAAAACUAAAAGGUAUAGAAUUACAGUUGAAUGUUGGUUAUAUGUAUUAUGCUAUGGUAAUUAAAUAUUUAUAUUGCUCUAAUCGUGACUAAACGACCUUUAAAACAGGAUUUUUUUUUUCUUUACUUUUAAGUGGACCCCAUCUGCCUCGGGUAGUUCUUUCUCUAAUACCCCAAAAAGUUCUUUCUUUCCCAAUGCACGUAAAAGAAAGAAAAUAUGGGAAAAAUAUCAUAGAGUAACUUAUAUUAUAUUAAGACUUAAAUUAUAUUUUAUCUUUUUAUUUAAAAAUUAAUAAAUUAAAUUUUAUAUAUUAAAUUAAAUAAUAAAUUAAUCAUUUCAGUUAAAAAACUUAUUCAUUGGUGCUGAUAUUAACAAUAAAAUUAAAUGAAUUUUUCUACAAAAUGAUCAAUUUAUAGUAAUUAAUUUAUUUAUUUUAGUAGAAUAAAAUAAAAUGUAAUCUAAACUCUUAUUAUAGCAAACUUUAUGUUACUUUUACUAAGAUAAUGUCUUUUUUUUGUUUUUGGCAUACUAAGCAUUCAUGUCCUAAUGCAAAUUCGAACAUGAUAGAUAGUAAUUUAUAAACUUCAAAGCCAUAAAUGGGAAUUUGACGUCACCUUGGUAUCAUCAGCUUUCCCAUCACCCUUGGCACCAAAAUGCAGUACGUCAAAGACUUUAGACUGCUGUCCAUUGCCGUAGCCUUUCUGGGGCGGCGGAAUUGAAGGGACUUUGACUUUAGGCUUAGGAGAUGGAGGAGCUUUUACCUUUGGUGACGGAGGAGUAGUUUUAUACGGCGGAGGUUUUGUCUUUGUUCCUCCAUUAUGGUAAUUGUGAUGACCGUGACUAUGAUCUUUUGUUUUCUUCUUAUACAGUGAAACUGAAGCAGCAUGCCUCCUUUGCCUCCAAUGCUUGCUUUUUCUAGCAAUGCAGGUUUCAAUACUUGAAGACCACACUAGAAAUGCUACUAAAAACAUAAAUGUGUGUCUUCUUAACCCAACACCCUUCAUUUUUUUUCCCUUUUUCCUUUUAUUUUGGUUUCUCUCAAGGUGGAAACAAGCAGAGAAGAAAAAGGGGAGAGAGAGGGAGAGAGGAGUUUUGCUUGAGUGCCAAAAUAAUAAGCGAUUGCUGGUAUUUAAACAUGGGGAGGAGCAAUUAGGACUAUUCACACAUGGGGAAACAAAAAAAAAAAAAAAAAAAACCCUAAGGGUAUAUAAACUUGGGAUAAUUAUAUGGUAUGGUGUAGUUCUUUUAGUUUUAUAAAAGAGUUAAAAAAUCACCCUGCAUUUUUAAUUAAUAUUUAAAAAUAAAAAAUAAAUAAGUUUUUGAGUUUUUAAUUUCAAUUGAAAAGUUAAACAAUUUCAUGGUUAAUAUACCAAAUAAAGUUAAAAUAUGGUCUAAAUUUAUUUACCUUUGAUACUUUUAUUUUUUUAGGAAUUUAAUUUUUCUGCUUUUUAGAUUUUAAAAUUUAUAUUUAAUUAUUGAUAUCAUUAAUUCUUUUUAAAAAAUUUACCAAUGUAACAUUUAAAAAAAACAAAGGAUAGGUGGGUUUACCAUUGAAGUUGGAAAGUAGUUUUCAAUCCAAAUCAUAAUUUCAAAUCAAAAAAAUUGUUUCAAACCAAGCAUUGAUUUUGAAUUAAGAUUUUAAGUCUAGCCAAAAAAUCAAAAUAUUUAAUUUUUUAUUUUUUGGAAAAGUAUUUUUCAAUAAAAUUAUAUUUUAUCUCUUCAUUAAAACUUUUACUUUACAAUAUCAAGUUUAAAAUAGACAUUUAUUUUCCCAAAAGCAUUUAUGAACAAUCAUGGUUAAUACUACCGAAAUUUUAAGAAGUAUUUUUUUCACUAACACUUUUCAAAAAGCAAUUUUCAACCUAAACAAAGAAAAUAGUGUUGUAACCAAUGGCGAAGUUAAAAAAAAAUUAGGGUGGUCAAAAUUAAGUUGUAUAAUUUUGAGUGAAAAUGUAAUUUUACCAUUUUAAUAGCUUAUAAGUUAUAUCUUCAUCAAGUUUUAAAGAAUUAAAUCAAAAUUUUAACAUUCUGAGGUUGAAAUACAAUUUUAUCAUGUACUAACUUAAAACUUUAUAAAUUUUAAAAGAUUAAAGCAUAAAUUUAUUAUUUUAAAGGAUUGGGGCGUCUACCCAUCUCUACCGUUACCUUUGGUUAUAAAAAAAAUUAAAUUUAAAAGAAGAAUUUUAACAGUCUUAAUAACUAAACUUAUCUUUUUAAAUCUAAAAAUUAAAAAAAAUUCAUAAAAUAAAAACAAAGAGACUAAUUUUAUAGAAACUUAAAACAUAUUUUAACUACUAAAUAAUAAUCCCUAUACUUAAUAUAUCUUUAGUGAAAAAAAAUAUAAUUAUUUUUUGGAAAAAAAAAACUGCUUUGAUAGUGCUGGGUGUUUAUGCAUCAUAAUUUCAUUCUCGCUCCCCCUCCUUUUAUCUGUAUUAUUAUUAAGAGUGGGUUUGGAUGGACAAUUGACUGCGGUGCAGUGCGUUUAGUUUACUUUUUGUCUCACGCUACAGUAUUGCUACAGUAUCUAAUCUCACCGCCACCGCUGUUUUUACACUAACCACAGGUAAACGCACCGUCCAUCCAAACUCACCUUAAAUCAACACUUAUCUUAUUACCCUAAUCCCCUUCUUGUGAAUUUUGGUCGGGAAUUCUUUAUUUAUUGAAAAAGGGUUCUUUCAGGGGUCCAUUUUGGUCGGGAUUUCUUUAUUUUGCUGAAAAAGGGUUAUUGCAGGGGUCCAUUUACAUGCCACAUGUAAAAAUGUUGUUCCAUCUAACUUAUUUAUUUUUUAAAAGAGUCGUAUUCGUUAUUUGUAUUCAGUGUGUAUUUUUAUAAAUAAAUAAAAAAUCAUUUCCGAACAUAACAACAUAAUACCGUAUCAAUGUUUAUACAUUCUAUCAGUUUUGUCUCAAUUUUUAAAAAAUUAAUAAAUUUAGCUCUUAAUAUUUACAUAUUUUAUUAAUUUUGUUUUAAUUUUAAAUCUGCCGAUAUCGAAUCAGAGCUAAAUUUAUUAUUAUUAUUUAAAAAUUAUGAAUAAAACGACAUAAUUUGUAAACUUUGAACGUUGAAUUUAUUAUUUUACUAAUAAAAAUAUGAUAAAAUUGACGGAAAAACAAACAAUGUGAUUAAUUGAUUUUGGUUACACAUUUUUUAAAUUGUUAGGAAUUAAAUAAUUUUUUUAAAGAGAUCAAUUUACCCAAUAUUAAAAAUGAAACGAGUAUUUCCGUUUAAUUAUUAUAUAAUCCUUUUUCUUUUUAAAACCAGAAUGCCAAUGUAUUAGAGGGAUAAAAAGUUUUACAGUGUGAUUUAUCUCUAAAUUUUACAAAAUUAAAAUAUAUAAAAGGAUCUUUAAUAUCCUUUUAUUUUUUUUAAAUACUGCCCAAAACAAAGCUUAGAUUGAAAAUCAAAGUUCAUUUUUGUUAAAUACAAACAAAUGAUGUGACUAUUAACAGAAAUAUACCUUCCCCCACAUCUGGUAAUCAAUACAUUUUCUUCCCCAAGAAGAGAGAAAAUUUACAAUUUUACUGUUAUUUAAUGCGGAAUUAAAAUUUAAUGUUUAAAAAAAGGAAAGAACAAAAUGGGGACACGUGAAUGGGUCUAUAUGUUGGGGGCACUGAUUAUAACAGCUUUCUAUUCUCACAUGCAACGUUCACGGGCUUCAGUUUUAUGCUUUGUCUUCUUAACCCACAAUUAUUCUGAAUUUUUUUUCCCUUUUUAAAUAUAUAUAUUCACUUUAGGGUAUUUAUAGGGUGAGCUAGAUUGAGAGGGAUAGUUUUGAAAUUAGAGUCUUGGGUUGCUUUUAAUCUCAAUUUUAGAUUCAUAUUUCAAUCUUAUAAUAAAAUAUAUAUAUAAACCACAACCACAACCACAACCACAACCAUCACAUUUUAAAUACUUUAAGUGCUUUAGUCUUUCAAAAAGUUUGUUCAUAAAAGUCAAUCUUGUGAUCCAUCUAAACUUUGGGGUAAGUGUAGGUAAAUAAUUUAUACGAUAAAAUAAUAAAUUUAUAUUUUGAUCCAUGAAAAAUUUAUAAUUAAAAUCUAGCCCUUGUUUAAAAAGAUUUCGGAUCCAGCUGUGAGAAUAUGAAUAGAACUGUUCCGUUUAAGUUGUGUAGGACUUCUGGGUUAGAUCACCUAUGGUUUUACAUUUCUAUGAUUUUAUUAUCUGUAGUUUUGCUCGAACCGGUAACUGGAAUCAAUUAUUUUUCAUACUCUUAUUGGUUAGCCUUUAACUAAAACAAAAUGUGAUUUUAAAUAUAUAUUUUUUUUAAAUUUAUUCUUUAUAUAUCCAUGAUUUUAUAUAUGCGUUAUUAUAUUUAGAAAAUAUAUACAAGACAAAUUUAAAACAAUUUUGCUUUCAAUUAAAAUCACAAAUUAAAAAUAAUUUAAAAAUUAUCGAUUAAAUUUUAUUAUUAAAUGUUUAAUCCAAAUAUUUGUUAAGAAUAAAGUUUAUUAUAAAAAUUAAAUACAUGAAUAUUAUCUUUUAUUUAAAAAGGAUAAAUUUGUAAAUUAUAAUUACAUUCCCAGGAGAGUACUUUGUGAACCAAACGUGAUAAUGUAACUUUUCUAUAAUUUUAAGCAAUACCUUUUAGUAUAUAUCAAAAGUUCAUUAAAAUAAUAUUUUUAUUUUCCUAAAAAUAAAUUUACAUUAUACCCAUUUUCACUUUUUCUUCUUUUAUAAUUAUUUACUUAAACAUAAAAUUAAUAUAGAAUUAAACAUUAAAACUAAAAUUAGAUAUAAAAUAAUAUAUUAACCCUAAAAAUAUUGAUUCUAAAGAAAAUUGACAAUAUAUCAUUCAUUCAAUUACAAGAUCAUCCUAUAUUUAAGUGAUUUGUGGUGACCGUAGGAUGCUUUGAAAGGUAAAAAAAUUAUAUCUAAUAAGAGAUUAUUUGGUAUACUUUCAGUGGGGGUUUUAGACUUCACAAACAGGGUCAAGAAGUUGAUAAGUGUCACGGUCAGCCUACCAAAUACCAACUCAUCUGAUAAUUAUCUUCAAUUUCUUUUCUUUCCUUUUUUUUUUCUCUUUUAACGUUCCUUUUUUUUUAAGGGAUAAAACUUAAAACUAUAUGUUAACUUUGAUCAAAUGCGCAAUGUUAUGCAUAAAAUUUAAUUUUGUGCAAUUUUAUAUAUGAACUUUUCAUUUGAUUUAAUUUCACAAAUGACUAACACAAUUAUCAUUAUAACACCACUUUACGCUUGCAUAUUGCAUACACAAAUAAUGAUAUUUAUCGAAUAUAUAAAUAAAUUGAUGUGUUUAUUUUUUAAAUCUGUACAACUGAAUCAAAAUUAAAGUUUCAUGUAUACAUCUGAACAACAAUCAAAAUCUCAUGUUAUGAUCACACAAGAUCAAAGUUUAUGUAUCAAAUUAUAUAUUGGAUCAAAGUUAUAUGCACAAUCUUAAAAUAUAUCCAUUUUUUUCUAAACAUUCAUAUCCUAACUAGGGGUGUUCAUUCGGUUAACCGACCGGUUAAUCGACCCGAAAUUGCUAUAACCGAAUUAACCGACCUUCCAAAAUUUUUAACCGUUAACCGAACCGAAUUUAAAAAAAAAUUAAUCGAACCGAAAUUUUUUCGGUUAAUAAGGUCUGUUAACCGAAUUAACCGAAAAUUAUGUGUUUUUUAUUUUUGGUUAAAAAUUACCCGAAUUACCCGAAAAUUAGCCAAAAAGUUUGGUGUUGAGCUUGAGAAAAAAUUGGGCCGGGUUUAAUUUGACCUAGUUUAGGCCCUACCCUGCAAAAUUCGGUUUACCCGUUUUUUUUCGGUUAACCGACCGGUUUCGAACCGAUUUAACCGUUAACCGAAAAAAUCAAAAAAAAUUAACCGACUCCCAACCGAAUUUUUUCGAUUAACCGAACUCGGUCGGUUAACUGAAAAAAAUCGGGUUAACCGAAUUAUGCACAGCCCUAAUCCUAACACAUAAGUAGAACUUACUUAUCAGCACAUUCUUAUUUCAUAUACAAAUUACCCUACAAUUACUGAGGAAUGAUGAAGGCACAUCUACACACACAUAUAUAUAUUUACUCCCAACCGAAACUAACUGUCUACCAAAAGGAAACUGAUGGUUUUCACAUGAAUGGAAUUUUGUUGUUUGUCAGUAUUGAAAAACAGAGAUUUAGCUACAUUUUUCUGCAAAACUUGAGCAGAAGAAACUACUGAAAGAAAUCCUCUCAUGGUGCCCAUAGGUUUUGCUUUAUAUACCAUGAAAAUGGUACAAUUAUUUGAUAGGUUAAGUGGGUAAAAAACAACUUGCUUUUUGUCUUUAAAUUAAAGCUAACAAGUACAAACUAAAAGUUAAUAAUUUAUGUAUACUAAAUCAUUGAUGGAGUGAUAAAGAAUUUAUAUUGAGUUUUCUUUUUACUUCAGUUUCAGAUUCGAUAUAUAUAGAAAUUUUCACUCCGUUUUACUCUUUCUUUACAAAAAAUAGUAUUAAAUUUCGAAAAAUCAUUUGAUACAUUACCAAUGUAGUUUUUUAGAUUCCACAAGCAGAUUGGCAAGUACAUAUAAAUAAAUGUGACACUCGUCACACUAUCAAUCCACUUGCGGUGCAUUAAAUAAUUGCUCAACAUUUAUUUAUAUUCUAUGACAACAAAUCACGUAUCUUUGAUACAUUUUGUUUGGAUUAACAAUGUAUUCGGUACAUGAAUUUGAUGUUAAUGUUUAAUUCGAUAUCCGACUUUUGCUCUCGUGUUCAAUUUAGUAUCUGAGUUUUUUUUCAAUUUGAUACUUACAGAUUUUUUGUCCCAAUUAAGUAUUUAAAUUUGGUUUUAAUGUUCAAUUUGUCACUUGAGCCUUUUUUUUCUUAUUCCAACUAAGUACCUAUGUGUUUUACUAGAGUACAUGUGUCGAGUAUUCAUUAGGGCAUAUAAUGUUAUUUGUUCAGGUAUCAAAUUGAACAAUGAAGUUAAACUCAAAUACCAAGUUAAAAAUUAAAAUCAAAAUCAGAUAUCAAAUAUCAAAUAUUAUACUCAGGUUAGUAUUUGAUAUAUUGGCAGUGUAUUCUUUUUAUUCCACAAGUAACUUUAAAAAUUACCAUGUGUUUCUUUUUCGAAAUAUUUAUUUUUUAAUAUUUUACCAUAUCUUUACUGCACACUUGUCAAUCUUUAAUCCUCCUCGUGAAAUAUCUAAUCGAAUGAUAAUGGAUAUUUUUUUAAGAAAAUUAAACAUUUGACAUUAUCUGAUUUUUUUAUUACUAUAUAUAAAUUUGGGUAUUAGAUUUAUUGUUAAUAGUGGAUUUAGAGGGGAUUCAUGUACGGACGUUUAGAUAAGUUCUGUUUGAAUUUGCUUUUAUUUUGGUUUAGAUAUUGUCAAAUAUUUUAAUAUGAUAUCCAUUUACAUAUGAUUUUGUAUUUUAUAUGUAUAUAUGCACAACCAAAUAUUUUAAUUUAAAAAACCAGAAUUAUAUUCUUAUAAAUCAUUGGUAAAAGCACGUGAUACGUCAACAUAAAGUAUACAUAACACGUCAUAUCUUAAAGAGUAUAUUGUCAGACAUUUCCCCUUGUAUUAAGAGUUGGAUUAUAUUUUACUUCUUCUAUUAAAAAAAAUGGGCAAAUUAGUCAAUGUACGUUGGAUCAUAGAGCAAACUAUCCUUCUAUUAAAAAUUCCAUCUAUUUUUAUUGUCAAAAAUCGAUCUCUGCACGUUAGCAUGAGGUAUACGUGACACGCCAUGUGUCACUAUAUAAUUAUUCUAUUAGCCAGGUCAGUUUUUAGCAAUGCAAAUGGAUUAAAUUAUUAACAAAAUAACCAGUUUGCUCUUUGAUAUAAUAUACAGACACUAAUUUGCUCAUUUUUUUUUCAGCAGAAGGGAUAAAAUAUAAUCUGACUUUUAAUAUAAAGACCUUCAUAGUACUUUUUCCAUCUAUCAUUCUCACAUGUAAAAUUUAUGAACUUCCCUAAUAUUGCAUCAAAUAAAUUAUUUGUAUAAAAAUUAUUUUUUAUUUAGAAUAUAUAGAUAUUUAAUUUCAAACCAGAAUGAAUCUAAAAACAGAUAAUGAAAUUUAUAAAUAUAUUUUUUAUGUAAUAUUUUUUCUACAUAAAUUUGUCAUAAACUAAUAUGUAAUAAUAUUUUUAUGUUUGUCCUAAUAACAUAAAGCAACAAAAAAAAAUAGUAAUAGAAUAUUCCUAAUUAAAUAAUAAUGAACUCAUCAUUGGUAGCUUUCUUUUGUAUUUGUGACAACUUUAUUUCUUUAAUUAUUCUAUUUUUCGUUUUAUUGUUCCUUUUAUAGGUAAUAAAUCAAUUUCAUGUAACAUCUAAAAGUAAGCCAUUAUGAACGGCUAGUAAAUGGCUCUUAUUCUUCAUCAAUAAUAUUCCAUGGUUGGAUUUUUAUUUUUGGAUUUGCCUUUUUGGCAUGUGAGAAUUUUUGUCGGUGUUAGCUCGAUUUUAGAAGCAGAACUUCAAGCAUUAGUAUAUAGGCUAAAAACGACUUAACAAAAAGGGGUGCGUUGAUUGUUAAUUGAGAGUUAUAGCAAAACAACAGUAAACUUAAUACUAGGAACCGAAUGAGUGGGGAUACCACUGCUGGGGUUGAAGAUUCGAAAAUGGAUGACGAGGGACUGACAAUUAAAGAUCCAACAUGUGCCACAAACAGUGAACAUGGAUCAAGAUGGUAAAGAGCUGUACAACAGGGUUUCAUUUUUUUUUCUCACCCGCCUCUGGUGGUAUAAUAUAUUAUGUUAUGUAAUCAGAAGAAUUAUCAAUCAGAAGAAAAUAAAUAAAUAAAGCAUAAUGGUCAAUCCUGAUUUUGAAGAACAACACACCAUUUAUACAUAUAUGAAAGAAUCCACUUAUAUUACUAUAAAUUUAAUUUUGUGUAUUUUUAUAGUUCACCUACAAUUUAUAUUUAUUUAAUUUGACCAUCAUAUUACACAAACGGUCACCCAGUUAUUAGUGAUUUUUUUUUCUGUCACCUAACUAUAAAAUGUUACAAAAUGGUCAUUUAACUAUUUAAUUUGUCUUUUUUAUCACCAGUUGGCUGACGUAAAAAUGGAAACAUCCAAAAGUUCGAUAUAAUUGAAUGACUAAAAAAGACAAAAUUGAUUAGUUGAAUUAUCAUUUUGUAAUUUUUCUUAAUUAGAUGAUAAAAAAUACUGAUAAUUGAGUGACUACUAAUGUAAUCUACCCUUAAAAAUUUUAUAUGCAUGACAAUUACGCUUUUAUUAUUAACCUAAAUUGAGUAAAACAUUAUAGAAUAUAUACAUAUAAUCAAAUUAAAAUUGAUUUAUAAAAUAUUCACAUAUGAUAAAAUUUUAAGUUAAAAUAAAUUAUUUUUAAAAAAAUUAAGUAAAAAUUUUGAAUAUGAUAUGAUUAUAUAAUAAUAGCAUGAUCAAAAUAAAAGUAAAAUGUAAUACAAAGAAUGAGACAAAACAAAUAAUAGAACUGCAAAGCGUAUCCAAAUGUGUAAAACAUAAACUUUUAAUAGUUUAACUGAAUUUUUCUCAUUUUCUAAGAGUAUAAUCAAUUUGUUUUAGGGUUUAUAAAGACUCUUUCGAGCUGAUUGCUCAUUUCAAUAAUAUCAUAUUUAAAGUUCGAAUUUAAAUUCUCACUCUAAGGCUUUACUUAAAAUUGAAGGGAAGAAAAUUAGAAAGAUGAAAAACAUAAUUUUUCUUUCCAUGUAUGCGAUUGGUAGGAGAGUUGGAGAAAUUGAACGAAAUUUACUUUUUCCUUCCAUCCAUUGUUCGGUAGAGGUGAAAAAUGAAAGGAAAUAAAAUAAAACAUUUGAAAAAUGCAUAAUUUUGAACUGCACAUCCCUCUCGUUUACUCUCCUCUAUUGAUUUUUAUGUAUUAGGAUGGAAAAUGAUCUCAACCUCCUUUUUUUUUUUCCUCUCAUUUUCCUUCCCUACUAAGUACACUCAAACUUCAUUUUCUUUCCAAUUUUCCUUUCAUUUCUCCCAUUCCUCCGCUUUUACACCCAACCAAGCACACCCUAAAAGUGUAAUAUGCUACACCCAACACUUACUAGUACUUGACUUUGUAGUUAAAUUGUGUCAAUUACUCUGUUGGACUUAUGUUCGAUCUUCCUUGACAAUAAUGUCGUGAAUUUUUUGCUUACUUUUGACACAAAAUUUAAUUUAGUCGAUUCAUAUAAACACCUUUAAAACUAAGGUCUUCAAAAUUGGAUCAAUGGUUGAACAAGUUAAGUCACCAGUUAGUUGGUCUGACCGAUAUGAUUUAUUCGAUUAAAUAAAUCAUUAAAAAAAUUAAAAACAAUCAUGUUCAACCAAUUCAUACUAAUUCCUGGAUCAAUCUAUCUAAUGGUUUUCUCCAGACUAAUACCCUGACUGAUCCCCAAUUCCAUCGGUCUAUCCAGUUCAAUUAAAUAAAUCAUUGAAAAUUUCAAAAAAAUAUUUUAAAAAUAGAAAAAAAAAUCUGAUUCAAUCUGUCCAUACCGAUUCUUGAAUCAACCGGCCUAAUAAUUUUCUCCGAACCAAUACACCAACCGAUUCUCGAUCCAACUAACCAAUCCAAUUCAAUUCAUUUUCGUAUUUUGAAAAUACAAACUGAUGAAAUAAUUGUUAAUUUUUUUUAUAGAAAUAGUUGCUGUGCAUGUGAAAAAUCGGUAGGGAAUCGGAUCUCUUUUAACUGAUUCUUAAAUUCAAAAGGACAAAAAACAAGUUUGUCUUUAUUUCUUUGUUGGGAUUACAGAACCCCUUAUUUCGUGGUCUACAAAAACGGCCAUUCUUUCCAAUGUCACGGGUUUAUUUACUUUUCAGCCCCAAAAAUUAUAAAAAUUAAAUUUUAAUAAAUUCUCUUUUUAUAAUAACCAAAACAAUCAAAUCGGAUGAUUAAAUCAAUUAAAUAUUUACAUAUUAUAUAUAUUAAAAUAUUUAAAAUAAUGUAUAAUUAUAAUUAUGUUAGUUUAGUUAUUGUAAUUAUAUUUUUAAUGAAUCAGUAUCCGACCGAAUUAACUUAUGAAACCGAAUCAAAUAUUUAAGAUUUUCAUCACUCGACACCACACAGUUACGAAUACGGUAUGAGGAAAAUAACAAAAAUACGACAUUAUAGGGACGAAAUCUAGAAUUUAUUUUAGAGAGACUAGAAUCGAUUAUAAUUUUCUGUGUAGGUCAAAAUAUAAUCAUUAUUAUAUGAACNNNNNNNNNNNNNNNNNNNNNNNNNNNNNNNNNNNNNNNNNNNNNNNNNNNNNNNNNNNNNNNNNNNNNNNNNNNNNNNNNNNNNNNNNNNNNNNNNNNNNNNNNNNNNNNNNNNNNNNNNNNNNNNNNNNNNNNNNNNNNNNNNNNNNNNNNNNNNNNNNNNNNNNNNNNNNNNNNNNNNNNNNNNNNNNNNNNNNNNNNNNNNNNNNNNNNNNNNNNNNNNNNNNNNNNNNNNNNNNNNNNNNNNNNNNNNNNNNNNNNNNNNNNNNNNNNNNNNNNNNNNNNNNNNNNNNNNNNNNNNNNNNNNNNNNNNNNNNNNNNNNNNNNNNNNNNNNNNNNNNNNNNNNNNNNNNNNNNNNNNNNNNNNNNNNNNNNNNNNNNNNNNNNNNNNNNNNNNNNNNNNNNNNNNNNNNNNNNNNNNNNNNNNNNNNNNNNNNNNNNNNNNNNNNNNNNNNNNNNNNNNNNNNNNNNNNNNNNNNNNNNNNNNNNNNNNNNNNNNNNNNNNNNNNNNNNNNNNNNNNNNNNNNNNNNNNNNNNNNNNNNNNNNNNNNNNNNNNNNNNNNNNNNNNNNNNNNNNNNNNNNNNNNNNNNNNNNNNNNNNNNNNNNNNNNNNNNNNNNNNNNNNNNNNNNNNNNNNNNNNNNNNNNNNNNNNNNNNNNNNNNNNNNNNNNNNNNNNNNNNNNNNNNNNNNNNNNNNNNNNNNNNNNNNNNNNNNNNNNNNNNNNNNNNNNNNNNNNNNNNNNNNNNNNNNNNNNNNNNNNNNNNNNNNNNNNNNNNNNNNNNNNNNNNNNNNNNNNNNNNNNNNNNNNNNNNNNNNNNNNNNNNNNNNNNNNNNNNNNNNNNNNNNNNNNNNNNNNNNNNNNNNNNNNNNNNNNNNNNNNNNNNNNNNNNNNNNNNNNNNNNNNNNNNNNNNNNNNNNNNNNNNNNNNNNNNNNNNNNNNNNNNNNNNNNNNNNNNNNNNNNNNNNNNNNNNNNNNNNNNNNNNNNNNNNNNNNNNNNNNNNNNNNNNNNNNNNNNNNNNNNNNNNNNNNNNNNNNNNNNNNNNNNNNNNNNNNNNNNNNNNNNNNNNNNNNNNNNNNNNNNNNNNNNNNNNNNNNNNNNNNNNNNNNNNNNNNNNNNNNNNNNNNNNNNNNNNNNNNNNNNNNNNNNNNNNNNNNNNNNNNNNNNNNNNNNNNNNNNNNNNNNNNNNNNNNNNNNNNNNNNNNNNNNNNNNNNNNNNNNNNNNNNNNNNNNNNNNNNNNNNNNNNNNNNNNNNNNNNNNNNNNNNNNNNNNNNNNNNNNNNNNNNNNNNNNNNNNNNNNNNNNNNNNNNNNNNNNNNNNNNNNNNNNNNNNNNNNNNNNNNNNNNNNNNNNNNNNNNNNNNNNNNNNNNNNNNNNNNNNNNNNNNNNNNNNNNNNNNNNNNNNNNNNNNNNNNNNNNNNNNNNNNNNNNNNNNNNNNNNNNNNNNNNNNNNNNNNNNNNNNNNNNNNNNNNNNNNNNNNNNNNNNNNNNNNNNNNNNNNNNNNNNNNNNNNNNNNNNNNNNNNNNNNNNNNNNNNNNNNNNNNNNNNNNNNNNNNNNNNNNNNNNNNNNNNNNNNNNNNNNNNNNNNNNNNNNNNNNNNNNNNNNNNNNNNNNNNNNNNNNNNNNNNNNNNNNNNNNNNNNNNNNNNNNNNNNNNNNNNNNNNNNNNNNNNNNNNNNNNNNNNNNNNNNNNNNNNNNNNNNNNNNNNNNNNNNNNNNNNNNNNNNNNNNNNNNNNNNNNNNNNNNNNNNNNNNNNNNNNNNNNNNNNNNNNNNNNNNNNNNNNNNNNNNNNNNNNNNNNNNNNNNNNNNNNNNNNNNNNNNNNNNNNNNNNNNNNNNNNNNNNNNNNNNNNNNNNNNNNNNNNNNNNNNNNNNNNNNNNNNNNNNNNNNNNNNNNNNNNNNNNNNNNNNNNNNNNNNNNNNNNNNNNNNNNNNNNNNNNNNNNNNNNNNNNNNNNNNNNNNNNNNNNNNNNNNNNNNNNNNNNNNNNNNNNNNNNNNNNNNNNNNNNNNNNNNNNNNNNNNNNNNNNNNNNNNNNNNNNNNNNNNNNNNNNNNNNNNNNNNNNNNNNNNNNNNNNNNNNNNNNNNNNNNNNNNNNNNNNNNNNNNNNNNNUAAAAUGAAAAAUUGUUCAUUUAUUUGACUCUUUAUAUUAUAAAUUUAAAUUAGUAAUAGUAAAAUUAUAUUUUGACCCCUUAAAAAUGAUAAAAAAUUUGAUUUAAUCCUUUAAAAAUUAUAAAGAUAUAAACUAUUAAAAUGAUAAAACUACAAUUUUACUAUCAUAAAAAUCUACAAUUUAAUUUCGAAUCCAAUUUUUUUUUUUUUUGACUCUGCUACUUUUUAAAUGGAACAUACUUGCCAACCCUCUCUCAGCCUUUCACUCCUCUCUUUUUGUUCUUUUACGUUUUGUACCAAUAUCCACCACCUAAUUGGGCCAAAGGGAAUAGUGUAUAAGACCGUAUUGAAAUGACAAUUCAUACCAAAUUAUUUUGGGUUGUGGAUUCACUCUCGGCUCAAUAAGUAUCGGUAUUAUUGUUAGUAUAAGAAGAUAUGGAUUCGAGUACGUUCAGUAAAAAUUUUAAAGUUAAAAUAUGUUAUGAAUUCUUGUAAUUUUUAAAAUUUUAGGAUUUAGUCUUAAUUUUAAGAGUUCAGUCUCUAUAUUUUUCAAAUUUUAAAAGUCAAGUCCAAUUAUUAACAGUGUUAAAAUCAUUUUGUUAACUUUAGAGUCAUUACGUCAUUUUUUUUAGUUACAUAGCUAUUAUGUAAGUAUUUUUUAAUUUUAAAAUGUUACACUAAUAAAUUUAACAGUAUUAAUAGUUAAACUUAAAAUUUAAAAUCUAAAAAAUCGAGAAAUUAAAUUUCAAAUUUACGAAAAAUAGGGACUUAUAUAGCAUGUUUUAACCUUUUCAUAGCCUCGAUGGAUAUAAAAUCACCUGCCCUAUGGUCAAAAUGCCCAACCUACUAACAUUGAAAUUUGAUAGUUUUUACGUUUUUUAAGGCAUAAUGAUAGAAUUGAUUACCUUUAAAAUAUUUGUGGUUAAAAUUUCUAUAAAUGAAAUAGUCUUUGGAGGGUUGAAAUUAAAUUAUAUAUUUUUACGAUAGUAAAACUGUAAAUUUAUUAUUUUAAUAGUUUAUAUCUUUAUAAUUUUUAAAUGAUUAAAUCAAAAAUUUAUUAUUUUUAAAAGGGCUAAAAUGUAAUUUUAUUAUUACUAAUUUAAAAUUUUAUAAAUUAUAAAGAGCUUAAAUGGAAAUUUUUCCAUGGCCCUGAUAUAAAUGGUAAAAGAAACACUUAGACAAUUAAGAAAGAAUUUAUUGUAAUAAAUUCAGCCUAACAUUUUUUUUUUACUUUGGCCCUCUAUUUUUUUUUUACUUCGGUAUUUAAUUUUUAAAAAUUAGUCAAAUUAUUUAUCUUUGUAUAAAAAAAUUGAUUAAACUUUUAAAAUUUUAAGGCACUGACAUAACGAUUUGUGUGACAGUUCACGUGCAUUUUAUUGUUGACUUGGAUAAUUUUUUUUAAUUUCUAUGUUUAUUUUAAUUUUUUAUGGAGUAUGUGAGGAUUACCACGUAACUAUCAUAUCAUUGUCAUCUAUCGUUAAAAUUUUAACACUAAUCAAUUCUCUGACCAAAAAAAUAAUUUGACUAAAUUUUGAAUGUUAAAAACCAAAAUGAUAAAUAAAAAUUCGGAUCAAAGUGAUAAAAAAAAACAUUUUAAAUAAUUGAUCACUAAAAUAUUUUUUGAGUCCGAAUUUUGAUAAUUUUUAUUUACCUUUCUUAUGCUCUCAAAAGUAUUUUAUUAUUUGUUCAACUCUAUUAAAACAUUUCACAUACUUCUGAAUUCAUUUAUGAUUUUUUUAUAAAAUUUUCCACAUUAGAUAAAAUAAUAAUUUUCAAACAUUUGUCGAUUAAGUCUUAGCUUGGUUGGCAUGAGCAUUCUUGCCUAUGCAAGAGGACGUGGAUUUGAGUGCGUUGGAGCACAUUAUUCUUUUUUUUUUUGCUAUGGUAGUUCUAAGCAGUUUCUAAUAAUAAAUCAAAACCAUAGUUUUUUUUUUUUUGCUGUUGGAAUUAAAGUAUUUUUUAAAAAUCUAUUUUAUAAUUCAUAAAAAAUUAUUUUUUCGAAAUUCGUAAUUAUCUCUCUUAAUAAAUUCAUCCCUAAAAUACAAUAAAAAAAUGGAGGUAAUAUAUAAGAGAAAAUAUCACAAGAAACACCAUGAGUUGUACUUUUGACCAUUAAAAUAAGUCAUCAAACUUCCAUGCCUGACCUUAAAUGCAAAUUCAUCAACCUUUGGGCCAAUAUUUUAAAUGAAUUGCUGAAAGUAUGGAGCUCAUAGCAGCCUCUCGUGACUGUCAUAGGUAUAUAUAGGGUGUGUGUGUAUAUAUAUAUAUAUAUAUAUAUAUAUAUAUAUAUAUAUAUAUAUAUGAAAAUAUUAUAAUCUUAGAGACUACCAUUUUGUCAUGCAUUUAAUAGAUUCUUACCAAGAAUUAAUUAGACAACAUCAUAUCAAAGUCGGAUUCAGAUGGUAAUUCAAACAAGGGAAAGCCAAUAAUAUGAUAGUGGGGCUAAAAUAAAAUUUUUAAAGUUUAGAGGUCAAAGGCAAAAAAGAAGAAGAUAUAUUUAAAAAGGGACUUAAGUUGAAUAUUUAUAAAAAAUUGACUAAAAUUGUUAAUCUAUCCUUAGUUUAACGGGGAUCAAAGUUACGAUCGUAAGUUAAAUCCAUAGUAUUUGAUUUGUUGGUCUUCACUGACGUCUUUUUCUUUGGAAAUUUUCAUCGUUGCGUGUUUGUUGUUUGAAAUUAUUCAAUGUUGUUUUCUCUAUCCAUAUGAUUCAAACACGAGGUUUUACUAUUAGUUAUUAUUAGAGAAAUGAUAACCUCACAAUCGUAAGUUUUGAAGAUCUAAGAUUUUAGGAUUUAAGAUUAAAGAUUUUAAAAUUUUAUUAAAAACAAUAAAAUUAGUCUUACUAAAUUUUGUCAUAAAUCUUAAAAAAUAAAAAAAAUUCUCAAAAAUAAAUAUAAACAAUAUAGAUUGAGCUCUAAAUUUCAAUGACUUACGGCCGUCAUGAUAGACAAUAAACAACUUUAUUAUUAUAUUAUUAUAUGUGUUUUUUCAUGAAUUAUAAUAGGAGGAUAAAACCCUAACAAUAACACGACUAGCGCAAUUUAAAUUCAAGUCACACCUAAAACAAUAAAUAUCUUGACCAUCAAGUCAACACGAGAUUCUACGUUAUAUUUAAGCACCUAAAUAUUCAUGAAAACAGUUGUGCAUCAAAACAAACAUUUUUGAGGAAAUCAAAACCAAAAUCAAUGUUAUUUAAACAUUUUUUAGGGGCUAUAAAUAGGGUUCUUCAAGGCCAACAAACUUUCUAGUUUUCUUCCCUUUUUUGUGAUUGUGAAUUCAAUUUAUCAUGAAAAAGAGUAAAUAACUUUUUGCUUUUAAUUGUGAUUCUUUUCGUCAGUGGUCCCCCAAUUGUCUUUAUGUUUUCAUUUAGUACCACAGCAUUUAUGGUUCAUUUAAAUAGGGGCACAACAAUGGGUACAUUAUUCACAUCCAAAUAAUUGUUAGAUAUGAAUACAUACUUAAUGUGAGUUUAAAAAUAAAUUAAAUGUUUACUCAAAGAAUUCCAUUUUAUACUCAUAUUCAAAUACAUAUUAAGUACUUUAUGAAAAAUACAAGUUCAAACAAUAUAGGAUUAGUAGAUUUAGGGUUUAAGGUUUAGGGUUUAGGACUAAUGUCUAUUGCAUCGGCCUAUAAGGAAUUUGAUGCCUUUAAGCAAGAUUUCGGAUUCAAGUAACGUGGAUGGAAAAAAAAUGUUGAGAGGGUCCUAUUCUUCAAUUAAGGGUAUGAUUUGGCUCAACUCAUAUGUAUUAAAUUAAACCCGAAUUAUUACACAUGAAAUGCAAAUAACCUGAAAUGAUCCGACCUAAAAAAUCCAAAAAUUUUUAAACUCGAAUUGACUGAGAACUAACCUAACUGAUAGAUUUAGUUGUACCCUCUAGUCCACUUCCAUUUUGACAAGCACCAUUGUUGGGCUUUGUAGGGUAUUUGAGCAAGGACCAGAGGACCGCAACACAGUGACCAAGUUUAUUCUUGGGCUAAAUGAACUCUUUUGAAAUGGCCCUAUUUCAAUUUCACAUAAGAUGUAGGUAAAAAUACUAACUCCCGAAAAUAAAUUUGGGCAAAAAUAUAAACUGGGUUCGGGUUUUAAUAUUUAGUGUUUGAGUUCGACUUGACUCAACUUGCUUUCAAGUUUAUGUUAUGUAAUUUUUAUUUUAUUUUAUACAUGAGGAGCGUUUCACCCCUUCAUAAUAUUUUAUCAUGUAGAUCAUAUACGUCAAAUUUUUCAUAAAUUAAAAAUUUCUAACAACUCGUUUUAUGUAAAAAAAAACUUUCAACUAUUAAAUAUAUAUAUAUAUAUUAAUAUCAACAAUAUUUUAGAUCAAUAUGAUAGAGAUACAGAAUCAAUUAAAAAUUUUAUAUGCACAAAAAUAUCAAUAAAUUCAAUGGAUGGAUUGUUAAAAUAUUAAUUGUAUAAAAAAGUUAAGAAAAUGUGUAAAACCACUUAAGUUUUACACCGGUAUAAGUGGAUCCCUCCCCUUUAUAUAUAUUGUAUAAUUCGUAUCAUAUGAAUCCUAAAUAUAUUGUACCAUAAUUUAUAUUUAAAAAAUGGGUAAACUACAAAAAUAGUCACUUUUGUUUGUCUCAAAUUACAUUUUAGUCACUUAUGUUUGAAAUGUUACGUUUUAGUCACUUACGUUAUCGUUUUGUUACGAAGUGAUCACUCUAUCGUUAAGCUCCGUUACCUCCCUAACGGCAGUCCUACGUGGCAGUCCAAAUGGGUUUUAAUUGUCAACUUGAAUGUCCUACGUGACAGUCCAAAUUGAAUUUUAUUUAAUUAAAAACCUAUGUUCAUCCCAACAACUAGACAUCCAAGUUGGCAUUUAAAACCCAUUUGGAUUGCCACGUAGGACUUCCGUUAGGGAGGUAACGGAUUUUAACGGUAGUGUGACCGCUUCGUAACAACUAACAAAACGAUAACAUAAGUGACUAAAAUGUAACAUUUCAAACAUAAGUGACUAAAAUGUAAUCUGAGGUAAAUAAAAGUGACUAUUUUUGGAGUUUACCCUUAAAAAAAUAUGUUAAGUUGUUUAUAAGAAAGGAUUUAAACAGGUUCAAGUUAGUUAUUUAAUAAUAUGUGUAAGCUUGGACAAAAUUUGAAGCUAUAUAUAUUUGCUCAAGCAAGCUGGGCUUGAGCAAAUAUAUAUAGUAUUGGUACCAUAUAUCGGCUCAACUUGAAUCUAAUCCAAUACACUCGUGAACACUUCUACUGAUAUGAAUUUUUUUAUGUGAGUACUCAAAUAACACAUGUCCGAAUAGUUAUAAUUAGAACUAAAUUAUUAUAAUGUAUGAACAGACUAAAAACUUGAAUAUACAUUAACUUAAACUAUAAUAAAUCUGAAAGAAUCCUUAUAUGAUUUACAUGUAAUGAGAUUUAAACAUGAGACUGUAAGAUUUGACAUUAUCAUUAAAUCGCAGUGUUAUUGGAUAAAUCAAAUUGGUUUUUUUAAACAUUGCUUCAAAUUCAAUGCCCAAAUUUUCUUACCUCUUAAGCGAAUUUAUUGAGAUCUUAUGAACCCUAGCUUUUAAUUUAACGGUACUGAUUGUUCAUCCCAGAAAUUCACACUAUGAAUUCGAAUCAUAAAAGUAAUCUAUUUAUAGUGUGUGAAUUAUUGAUUCAUAAAAUUCUCCAAAUUUCACAUGUCCAAUAAUUUGAUUUGAGUGCCUCCAAAAUUUGUGGUGCCAAAGCAAUACGCCCUCAUCUCUUUAUUCCUUUUGCAUUGACUUUAUUAAUUCCUAUGGACCCAUCGCCCUUAUGUGCCUCUCAAAGCUCAUCAAUUUAACCCCAUAACGUGGCUCAUGUUUCAUACACAAAGCAAUCCCAUGGAUCGUAAGGCCUGAGUCAUCAAACGUCGGUUCAAAUUUAAUUUGAUUUUAUAAGUCGAUUGAUUAUUGAUUAUAUGAAUUUUUAUAAUUUUUAUACUUUAUUAUGUCGAUUUAAUUAAUAAUGACAAUAGAAUGGGGUAGGAAUGUAUAUUGUUAAAUUCGUUGUUGCCUUACUGUUGGUAUAUUCUAUCUCUUCUCACGCCUCGAUCUAUCAUGAAUGUUCAAAUUUGGAACUCUAUACCAUUUCGAUGGAUAUUAGAUGCACCCAUAACUAUUCUGCACCCAUCAAAUUUGGUAUUUAUUAAUGUUAGUUAUUUCUAAUAAUUUCUAUGUACAUUUGAAUAUGGACAUAGAAGAGAUAUAUCUACGGCUAUUUCGAUUAAAUAUUUUAAGGUAUAUCGUAUGACAUAUUAUUACAUUUUUAUUCUUUUAAAAGUUAAAUGUGAAAUGGUAAAUUAGUAAAUUUAAAAUAUCGAGAUGAGAUAAGGCAAGUAAUUGCCAUAAUUAUGUUUUACUCAUUUUUCUAUUCGGAGUAGAUCGAAUUAAAAUCCAUAAAAUAAUUUGAGUUUUAUCAUCCUUAGAUUUAAGCGUAUAUUCAAUUUAAAAAAUAUAUUUAGUUAUAAAUUAUAUAUAUAAUAUCUUAAAAGAUAAUGAGAGAAAAUUCGAUUUAACCAACUUAAUUGACCCAACAAUCUUAAAUCGAUUAUCGAUUGAUAUGAUCAUUAUUGUAUAGGAGACGUGGGUUCAAUUAUUUUUAUUUUUUUAACUGAAUUAAUUAAAUCCACCGAUUGCACCUCGAGAACAUGCAAUGGUUGCACCUCUAUUUGUCUUUUAGCAGUCAUUAAAGGGACCGUUGGAAGAAAUAAUUAAUACGUAGGAACCACCUAAAGAAAAUGGGAAAAGUAAUAUUUAGUCCCCGAGCUUGGUAUUUUUCUCAACUUGAUCCUUAAAUUUCUUUUUUGGUCCACAUUAAUUUUUGAACUUGACAACUUUUACCAAUUUAUUCCUUCAAACAUAUUUUAAAAACUUUAUAUAAAAUAUAAAAAUAUUUAAGAACUUUAAUUGAAUCCAAAUUCAGGAUUAAAUUGAGAAAGCUACAAAGUUUCGAGACUAAAGUAGAUCCCAAAAAAUUACCAAAUUUAAGGGCUAUACGAUACUUUAUCCCUUUUCAAAGCGCAGCAAUGAAUCAUGGUUUUAUAGCUGAUGGACUUUUUUAGAGCACCAGUGGCUAGUAGCACAAUCUCUAUGCUUAACUUCGUCAUAUUUGAACGAAACCUAAAUUUAUGGACCAAAUUGAGAAAAUCUGCAAAUUUCAAAACUAAUGUGGACUAGAAAAAAUUAAAGACUAAAAUGAAAAGUUGUCAAAAUCAGAGACUAAAUGUUAAAUUUUUCCUUAAAAGAAAACGCAGCGAUCGGUCAUUGUUUUAUAGGUGAUGGGACUACUUUUUCAAAGCACAAUGGCUAGUGGCUAAUAGGUAAGCAGUCAUCAUCAAGACACACAAAUUUUCUUCUAUUUGCUCUUAUCUCCUAAAGAUGGGGAGAAUCUAUCUCUUGGAUUUCUAGUGCUAUUUUGGCCCUUCACUUAGAUAUCUGUGGAUAAACAGUCACUCUCUUCAAAUGUGGUUCCUAUAUUUCUUUAACUAAUUGGUGAAAUUCUGAGUUUGGUCCUUCUACUAUGCUUGAAUUUCGAUUUAGUCUGUUAAUUUUGUAUAAUUUGAUCUUUUACUUUUACAAUGUCAUUAGUUAUUUAAAAUAAUUAAACAUAGUUAGCUAUUUCAGUCAAAAUACCACUAUGAAUUGUCGAGGGGAGGCUGAUUUCAUUGAGAGAAGUCCGUGAAUUGUCGUCCUCUUGGAGUCGGCAAAAGCCGCUCUGUUUGAAGCUAGCAAACCUCUUAACACAUCCGGUGUUGUCCCUAAUAGGAGGUUGUCUCCCGACUCUGCCUAAAGCUCGACUAUUUGAAGAGGUGGUAGGUUCAUAGAGCAAAAGCACCUUAUCGGGUGUCUGAUAAGGCAAAUCAUGAGUGUCGCGCAUAGACCUGAUCAUAGACCGAGCCACCUGGCCAAGCUCGAAAAAUGAGAGGGGUAGGAAAAAAAUACGAGGCUCGGAAAAAUGAGUUUGGGUAAAUUUUAAGGCCCAUUUUCUAUAUGGGCUGAGCCUUGGCCAAUUUUUUUUGGCCCAAACCUAGCCCUGCACUAAUAUACUAUGUUAUACAAAAUAUUAUAUUAAUUAUAUAUGUUAAUAUAUAUUUAUAUUAAAUCACUAACCCAAUAACAAUUAAAGUCAUUACCCAAAAAAAAAAAAACUUAGCCAACUAAAUAACCCAGUCCAAAACAUAAAAUUUUAAAAAUUAUAUUUAAUAAAAUAAAAUAUUUAUUAUAUUUAUUUGUGUUUUUAAUAUAAUAAAACAUUUAUUAUAUUUAUGGUAGUGUUUUUUAAUAUAAAUACUUUUUAAUGUGUUAGAAAACUUUUAUUUUAGUGUCUUUUUAGUGCAUUUAGUGUAUUGUAUCUUUUAAAAAAAUUAUUUUAAAAUAAAAAUUAAUCUAAAAAAAUCAAAUAUGAAUGGGUCGGGUUUACCUUUCCUAAAUUGAGUCAAGCUUGGAAAAAAUUAAGCCCAUUUUUUGAAUUGGGUCAAACUCGAACUUAAAAAAUUAAUCUAUAUACCUUGCAUGGGCCUAAGCCGACCCAUGAGCACCUCCAAUCACACAUGGUCUGACUCAAGCACAUUACGAGGUUCUUUCACUCUGUGAACUUGUUGCCACUUCAGGUCACCGUUUUAGACAUUAGGUUCUUAGCAAAGUAGGUUGUUGAUGAACAACACUUCGCAGACUACUCCUCAUAAAGUCAACCUCCUCUCAACAGGCAUAUAAUUAAAAAAAUAAAAAAUUUCUAACACAAAAAUAUCCGUGUCAACGUGAUGAGUUGAAAUAAUUUUUUUUUUAAAUUUCCAUCAGCAUUUUAACUAGCAGUAACUAUUUACACUAACUAAUCACAUUGUAGAAGUAAAAAAAAAAACCAAAUUAGAUCAAAGUAGUCACAGUAAAAGGACCAAAACCACAAUUUAACCCAACUAAUAGUAUAAUACCAUAAAUUUUCAAAAUAUCUCUCAUGCUAUUUAUACCUUUUUCUCCUCUUCCAUUUUUUUAGUAUUUCGCAUUUCGCCUCUCAAUCUCAACAUUCCACCUUCCUUUGUCCAUUUCUUUUUCGAGGGAAAUAAUAAUAAUGUACCAUCAAAACCACCACCACCACCAUCUUCAUCUUCCUUGUCUUCAUUGCCACCCACAAAGCUACAUUAGAAUGGUAUAAUUUCAAAAUCCUCCUCAAUGUUCAUAUUUUUUUCUUUCAAGUCCCAAAAACAAUUGUUUUUCAAGUCCUUUUUUUUUGUUUUUGAAUGAGAAAUUUUGCAGGUUCAGUAUAUGAUAGAGAGAUGUUUGCUGCUUCACAUGAACCGACAACAAUGUGUUAAGGCCUUAGCAAAGUAUGCAAGCAUUCGACCAUGCAUUACAGUUACAGGUGAUCAUUGCAUAUAGCUGAUCAAAAUACAAACAUAUAUCUACAUGUAUAUAUGUGUAUAUAUACGUAUAAUAUAAGGAAAAGUAGUGAUAUUAAUGUGUGUGUAUUUUUUUGCAGUGUGGAAGGAGCUGCAAAAGGAGAAUAGGGGAUUCUUUGAAGCAUAUUUUCAUGCCAUUUCUCAAUACAAGCCUUUCAUGGGUAAGAACACCCUUAACCCUAAAACAUUUCAUGUUAGUCGUUUGUAGUAUUGUUGAGUAAUCCCACAUGGCUGAAAUAUCUGCAAGUUAAAAAGGUUUAUAUAAUGGUUAAGUGAGAAAUUAUCCCUAGUUUGUGGUUACUUAUUUUCUAAAUUUUAACAUUAAGGGAUAAAUAUUAAAACUAUACAUAAAUUUUAGUUCAAUGUGUAAUAUUAUAUAUGAACUUUAAUUUUAUGCAAUUUUAUAUAUGAUUUUUUUUUUACAAAUUACUGGUAACAUGAUCGACAUAACAACAUUUUACGUUUAUAUAUUGCAUACACAAACAAUUAUAUUAACCCAAAAUGUAUUUAUUUUUUAAAAUGUGUACAAUUGUAUCAAAAUCAAAACUUAAUGUGUAUAUCUGAACCCCAACUGAAGUUUCGUUUAUAAAAUUGCACUAAACCAAAGUUUAUGUAUUAAAUUACGCAUUGAAAUAAUAUUUAAGUGUAGUUUUGAUAUUUAUCCAUAACAUUUAAAGUUCGAUGGUAUUAUUAUAUUUUUGGGUAUUUUAAUGAUAAUUAUUAUUUUACUAAAAUAAUUGUACAAGAAAAGAUUUCUUCUUCUUCUUUUUUUAAUGUGAAAUAACACAUCUUGUAUUAAAUAGAUAGCAAAAGUUAGUAUGUAGCGUUGUGACGUUAUGUGUAUAUACCAUUGCGAUGUUCUCUAUUGUCCCACUGAUUUAUUGGUGACCAAGGUGUGAUGUCACGAUGUUACAUGCAGGAAGUCGUAAUGUUGGCCAUUGUUUUAUUGAUCUAAUAGGUCAUUAAGGUAUGACAUCGUGACGUCAUGUGUACAACAUUGCGACCUUAGUUAUUAUGUCAUUGAUUUAUUGGUGAUCAAGGUGUGAUGUCACGACGUCGUACAUAGGAAGCCACAAUGUUGGCCACUAUUUCAUUGAUCUAAUUGGUAUCAAGGUGUAACAUCAUGUGGUCAUGUGUAGGAUAUUGCGACGUGAAUCUCUAUUUAAGUUUGAAGAGACAUGUGACCAAAAAUGAAUAAUUCUGGUGGGGGAGUUAAAGUGUAAUUAUACCAUUAUAUUAUUUUGUAUUUUCUUAAAAUUUAAAAGAAUUAAUUGAAAAUUUUUCAUUUUUAAUAUUUUUUUUUGGGUGGAGGUACCCCUCCCUUUGCCCUUGCAUGUCAAAUGCAUAGAUAUAGGGAUAUGACCUCCGAGAAUCUUUCUAAUACAUAAAAAAAACUUAAAACCAUAUUUAUGUCAUAUACAUGUUUAUGUUCCAACACAUUCAAAUUCGAAUAACUUAGCUCAAUAUUAUAUUUAUAUGUAUAUUUGUAUAUAUACACAUAUAAUUAUGACUUGAGUUGCUGUUUUUAUGUAGGAUUGAAAUGGUGUGUGGCUUUGUUUUUUGUUUUUUUUUUUCAGGUUAUUACAUCCAAAGGGAACAUAGAUUUCAAAGGAAGAAAAGGUUCUGGAAAUGAAUGAUAAUUUACUAUUGCAAAAGUAUUGUCUCUAAAUUAAUUCUAAGGUACAAUUUUAUUAGGGAUUUUAAUAAAAAAAAUAAACUUUUUUAUAAGUGGGGAUGGGGUUGUUUGGGAUCAAACCCAAACUCUUAUGCCCAUAACAUAAUACUCUUACUAUUAAAUUAAGAGGUUAUUGGCUGAUGAAUAGUAAACUUUAUGGUGAGUUUUAGAAAAAUUAAGAGGUUAUUGGCUGAUGAAUAGUAAACUUUAUGGUGAGUUUUAGAACCUUUCUCAAUAAUAUUUGUAUAUGAUCUUAAAAUUAGCUUUUUAAAGGUAAAUCACUAUAUAUUUGUUUGUACGAAAUAAAACGGGCUUGUAAUUAUCAAUAAGUAUUGGAUACAUUGGUAAGGCGCAUUGCACUUUUGGAAGGAGAAUUUGGAUUCAAACUCUAAAGAUGAUAGCGUUGAGUGGGAUAACCAUAAACUUCGAAAGGAUUAGACUUCAUUGACCAUAAAAGGGGAUAUUGAGAAGAGGGAGUGUAAUACCCCGAAAAUUUCUACAGUAAAGAAAGUAAGAUAAUAUCUCUGAUAUAGUAAAAUAAGGAAAUAAAGUGAUAAAAAGGGUAAUUUUGAGUUAUGUCAACAUUGGGAAGUAUAUUAUGACAUAUUAAUUCAAGACAGGAUUAAAUCGCAAAAGUGAGAAAAGUUUUGUUGCCCAAGAGUAAAUACUCAAAAUUUAAGGGGUUAAAGUGUAAAUACGAAAAAGUUGAAAGACCAAAGGUGUAAAUAUUUUAAGGGUGGAAUGAUCUAGAAACUAAAAAAAUGGAUAGAUUAGGACCAAAUUGAAAAAAGGUGAAGAAUUUUGAGGGACUAAAUCAUAAUUUUACCAAAUUAAGUGAUGACUCAAGAAUGGAAUUUUAAAAGAUUAUAAAGGGCAAAAUGGUCAAUUAGAGAGAGAGAGAACUCUAGAAGGUAAUGAUGAUGUUGGUGAUAUUUUUAUUAAUUAAUUAGAUAAAUGUUAUUUAAUUAAUAUUUCAUUAAGAUUUUUAGUAUUAUUUUAUUAUUAAAUGAUUAAUAUAAAAGGGAGGAAAGAUGAAGAGAAUUCAUCAUCUUUUCCAUGCCACCAACGUGAGAAGAGAGGAAAAGAAAGAAAUUUUCCUUUCUUUACAAUUUGGUUUUUUUACCAAAAAUUUACUAUUUUCACUUAGAAAUCAAAAGAAUUUCCAUAGCUUCCAAGAGAGAAAAAUAAUAAGGAGACAAUGGGGAGCUAGAAUAUCAAGUUAGAUUCAAGAAAUAGAAGCUGGAGGAGAGAGAAAAUCAAGUUAAAGAUUGAAAUCAAUAGCACAAGGUAAGAACAUCAAGAUUUCAAUAUAUUUUUUAGUUUGAUAUUAUUAAAAAAGUAGGAAAUUAAUGUUAUAGUAGAGUUUUCUUAUAUAAGGUCUUGUGCUCUUGAUAUAUUAGUGAAGAGAAAUAAGUGAAAGUGAUGAGAAAUAUUAUAGAGAAAGGGAAUAAGGGAGUUAUAAACUUAGUAAUCAACAUCUUGCACUAAAACUGUUUUGGACAACAGCAGUAGGUUAACUUUGGAAAAUCACUAUAAAUCGUGGAAAUCGAAUUAGAGGAUGAAAAAAAUAUGGAAUUAAAUAUUAUUGAGUCUAGUUUAUCAUAGAAGAAACGAUGUAAGUAAUGGAAUUGUAAAUCAUGAGAUCUAAUAAAUUUUGUGAGACAAGGUCAGAAUGAAUUCGGGUUCCCCUGUUCUGAAUUUGGAAAAUCAUAAAAAAUUGAAUACAAAUAAUUAGAGGCUUAAAUUUAUAUGUUUAAAAUACUUUAAUGAGUAUAUUUUCAAUAGAAACAAACGAGAACAUCAUCCAAAUUCUGUACAAAGAGAUAAUUAAUUUUGAGUGAAGAGGGGUCAGAACUGUCAAAUAGUGAAACAGGGGAAACUUUAAAGAAUAAACUGUACUUAUUGGAUAAACCAAAAAUUUUGAAAAUUUAUGGUAAGAAGAUAUGUGAGUCUAGUUUCAGAAAAAAUUUGCGGAUCUCAAUUCGAAGUUCUGUAUCUUAAGAUAUAAUUAAUUUAGUGACUAUUACUCAAGUGAACAGCUUGUUAUGAGUAAACAAGUAAAUAGUGGUAUUAUGUAUAUAUCAAGGAUGUGGAAUGGAGUGGAGGAGGAGGAAAAAUAUAUGUCAAUAUUCAUCUAAUAUGAGUUUAUUUUAAAAUAGUUAAUUUACAUGUUUUAGAUUCGGGGACUAAAUUGAAUAAAAGUGAAAUUUUAAGGGUAAUUUUGUAAAAAUGUAAAAAAUGACCAAAGUGCAUGAAAUGAAUUGUUUUAUUAUAAAUUGAUGAAAUAUUAAUUGAGAUCAAGAUUGGAUGGAAAUUCGAGGAAAAUGGAAAAUUACCAAAAUGUCUCUGAAUUUUGGUAUUUCUGCAAUUUAACUCGGUAAGUUCGUGUAACUUGAAUUAUAUUCUUAAAUGCCUGAAAUGUUGUUAUUGAUGUGAAUAUGACUUAAAUGUUCAUUGUAUGAAAAUUGAUGAAAUAUUGAUAUAUUUGAUAAAAAAUGGGAAGAAAUCCUGGUUGAAUGGAAGAAAAAUUCGAUGGAUCUCUGAAAAAGAAUUGACGGUAAAAAAGGAUCUAGCCCAGACGGGUGAUCCUAUCCUGAUAUAGCCCUCUCGAAGAAUAUUUGGAUGGAUUUAGCCCAAAUGGGUAAUCCGAAUUAGGGUCUGAAUUUAGCCUGGACUGGUAAUUCAGGUCCAAACUCAUUAGAGUAAUUGUCAUUGCAGGGGAUUUUGCCUGGAUUGGUAAUCCCAACAAUACUCUAUGAGUUUAUAUUACAGGGGAUUUAGCCUGGACUGGUAAUCCGCUGUAAGGAUAAGGUUUGCAGGAGUGUGCUCUCUGAAAUGGAAAUGUGCGCACAUGAAUAUGAAUUGACGGACCCAGAUUUGUACAAUAAAAGUGUACCUCCAAAAAUCCAUCGAAUUUUUAAGAAAUUCAACAGGAUAAAUAUGGAAAAUAAUAAGGGUAGUAGAAAACAUGGAAUUGAAUUAUUAUUGGAAAUAUAUUAUCGAAUUUAAUACCAAGUUUGGAUUGAACACGGGAUUUAGUACAAUCGUUCUGUGCCAAAGGAUGAAUUGACGGAUGAGACCAUAACUGGGUUAUGCCAUUACAAAUGUAAAGGAUGAAUUGACGGUAAAUUACCCAAGUAAACCGAGGUUCAGCAUUUGUUGCGGGCUUUCAUGUUUACUAUCUGUUUAGCUCUCAUGAGCUUAAGUUUAUCCUUCGGGCUUCUGAAAACGAUGUACUCAUACCCGUAAGUCAUUCUUCGAUACAGAAAGAAACGGUAAAAGACUUAUGUGGUUGAAUUGAAAGAUUUAUAGAUUAUUGGUAUUGAUCUAAAACAAAUGUAACCAUUGAUAUUUAAAUGAUAUAAAGGGUAAAGUUCUGAAGUGAGAUAAAAUGAGUUUGAAAUGAACUAUUACCAGUAUGUACGCGAAAUUCAUGAAAAUGAUGGUACAUGAAAUAUCGAAAUAAUGAAAUGAAUGAUAUAUACCUAUGAAGAAACGAUAAGAGAAUGAUAUGUAUCAUGGCAUGUAAAUGUACGAUUAUCUUUAAUAUGUUGAUACAAGAAAAUUAUGCAUGAUGAGUUUAUAUGUAAUGUGUGCAAGUACACUAACCAGUGUUGUUGCUUGAUGCUUAGGCAAGUGCCAAGCUAUUGGUUGAAUAGUAAUAUGAUUAUUUAAUGGAAGCAUUGAAUUGAUAAGUAUUUGAAGGAAAAUAUGCUAGUAUUCAUGAAAAAGUGGUAUGGUUUAAAUUAUGUAAUUUCUUAUAAAAUGACUUAUCUUGUGAUCAAUUUGGAAAAGGCUUUAGUUAAAUGCACUAGCUUGUGACUAUGAUUGAAUGAUAUGUUUAUGACUUGUGUGUCACGCAUAUGGAAUAAGUGUGGAAGUAAAGAACUACAAAUGAAAAUAAAGAAAUUAUGAAGAGUUAAAGUUAUAUAAAGUCCUACUAAGCUUGGGAUAAUAUGUAAGUGAUACUGUGAAUUUAUUCACCUUGUGAGUUGAUGAAUAUAGCUUCAUGAGUACUAUGGUAUUAAUAUUGGAUUAUUCUUGAUAUGUAUAGAUUUCAUAUUUUAAAUGAACUAAUAUGAUUAAAGACUACACGAGCUUACUAAGCAUCCAUUGCUUACGUAUUUGUUUUUUUUACCCUACAGAUUAUCGAAAGCUCGAUUGGGUUGGAAGCUUGUCAGAGAUAUAUCACACUAUCCAUUGGUUCUAUCGGUAAUUUUGGAUGAUUUGAUUCUGGUUAUAAUGGCUUGUAUAAGUUAAUUUGGCCAACGUUGGCUCAUUAAUGUUUUGAUUUUGGUUGGUUUCAAAUAUAAAUGCUAGAUAAAAUGAAAUGUCUGAAAAUUGAUUUGUAAAUUUCGGUAAUGCUCCGUAACCCUAUUUCGGCGACGGAUUUGGGUUAAGGGUGUUACAGGGAGGCACUAAGGGGGCAAGCACUAGCCUUGCACCCCCUUCCCCGCGGGGAAUUUGUUAUAUUACCCUUUUAAAUUUUGUAACAUUACAAAUUAGUAUAAUGGAAAAUUCACAUUUUGCCCCCUCAAAAUUAUUCUUUAUUAAUUUCUCAGCUCGAAGAAAAUUUUUUAGCUUCGCCCUUAAUUAAGAAUACCUUAAUUAUACAAAAAAAAAAGAAAAAAGAAAGGGUUUGCCUUACUCAUAACUAAUCAACUGACCCACCCAAAAUGAUUGUUUUACUAGAGUAGGCCAUUUCCUUCAUUAACACCUACCUCUUGUAUAUAUAUCACAUGGAUAAACGUCAAAUUAUAUUGGGCCCAUUUAGGUAGAGGGGUUUAUGAGUUGAGUCAAACUGGGCUCAAGCAGGAUAUUAAUACAUUUUAUAAUUGUCCAAACUCAACCUGACCCGAAAUAUAGGUUUAAAAUUUUGUCAAAAUCCACCCACAUUUGAAAAUGGCUAGUUGUAAUCUUUAUAGUUUUUGAUGGACCCCUAAAUUAAAAUCUUAUCAUUUCAGAGGGGGCAAUUUAUAAUUUUACCACUACUUAUUUAUAUUUUAUACAUUUUAAAGGGUAAAGAAUGCAAUUCCCUUUUUUUGGGGGGGGGGGGUAGGGCCCUUAUGAGCGUUGAAUGUUCGAGCAUGAACCAGACCCAUAUUUUAUUUUUUCCCAAACCCUUCAAAAUUCGAACGAGACUUCAAAUUUGGAUAGGUAGCAUAACCUAUCAACAAAUUUACACCCGAAGACCACUUAGCAAGAUAACAAGCCCCCCAAUCAUAUCCAAAUGCAUGCGAACACUUGUACUGUGAGACAACAAGAUCCACUCCAAAACAUAUAUAUAAACCUUUUAUGGUUCACCAAAAGAGGAGAAAACAUUUUUUUCAUCGAGAAACGUCACCAAGAUCACUUAAAUCCUUCUUCAAAACCUUUGGAAUCACCCUGUACAGCUUUUGGCACCACUUUAUGAACCGUUACCAAUUUUCACACAGACCAUAUCUUCUUUCUUUAUAGUCGGAAGAGGUCAUCAAUGGUUUUCAUAUUCAAUUUGAAUCUCUUUUCAGAUUAGAUGAUUAAUGCACCUCACUUAUUUCGAUUCUUAUUUAUAGAAAAUUUAUCGAAGAUUCAACUUAUAAACAUCAAAUGAGUAACUCUACUUUUAAACAAGUAGUCUCACAUAUGCCUAAAUGUGAUAGUUUCAUCUUGAAUUCAUGGAGAGGUUUGCAUUAUUAAACAGCUGAAAAAAUGAUAAGCUGUUGCUAGGACUCAUUGAUGGACCAAUUCUUGCAAUGAACAUGAAGGCCCGGUUAGGAUAGUUAAACGUUCUGCACUUUUUUUUAAAUAAUUUUUUUAUUUUAAUUUUAAUUUGUAUAGUUAUUUUAAACUCGAAUUGUUUAUGUUAAAUUCGAGUAUUUUAUUUAAAUUUGAAUUAAAUAAUAGUAUAUUUCAUAUAAUUAAAUUUACUGUCAAAGGUGAAAACAAAGGUAAAAAUUAGUCUAUAAGCUCACCUCACUCGAAAAAAUUAAAUUAUUUUAAAAAAUAUAUAAAUAUAGGGAUUAAUUUUAACAAAUGGAAAACAUAAAAAAAAAACUAUGGAAAAGGGGGGAAAUGGAGAGAGAAAUAGAAGAGAAUGGAAAAAAAGUAAAGUUAAAACAAUAUAAAAGAAAAAAAAAUCAAAUUGCUCAAAAUAAAAAAAAUAUGAGGACCAAUUGUAUAAAUUAACCUAAAAAUAUUGAUUUAACAUGUCACGUCAACUUACCGUUGCACCAUUACUAGCAAUUAAUGGCUCAAUGACUAAAAUAUUAUAACGCAAUAACGCAAGUGAUUAAAAAAUAAUAUUUCAAACAUAAAUGACUAAAAUAUAACUUGAGAUAAACAAAAGUGACUAUUUUAACAAUUUACCCAUAAAAAAUAGAAUAUCAUUUAAGUAAAAUAAAAUACGAACAGAAUCUUGAAUAUGAGUUGUUGAGUUUGACUAUAAUUGUUAACGUUGACUCACCCAUUUAAGUGUUGAAACUAUUUAAGAAAAUGUACCAAGGAAAAAGGAAUGCAAAAGUCUAAGUAAUACAAAAGAAAUUAUCUCUUUUUUUUGGGUAAAAGAAAUACAGCAUUUUAUUGAAAAAUCAAAUCUAAAAAUUUAUCAAUUUUUUCUUUUAGAAAUGAUAUAAAUCCAUUGGAUUGAUCCAAAUUUUAUCAUAUAAUUUAGUCGCCUUUAAUUGAACAAAUCAAAUAAAAACAAAAUUGAGCCGUAAGCUUGACUGGACACUGGGGGAUGAAAUUGAACAAAGGUCAAUACUGUCUGCCCGUGAAUAUUAUAUUAUAUUUCUGUAUAUAAUAUAAAACACAUUAUAUGUUGUAUGCUAAAUUAUACACUACUAGCUUGGUCGAUUAAAUUUUAAUUCGAUUGAUAUAAACAUUGUUGUUAGUACAGGAGAAUAUGAGUUUGAGUGUACUGAAAUGCAUUAUCCUCUUAUUUAUGAGUUAAAGAAAUAUUAUGAGUAGUUUUAGACAUUGUGUAAAAAAAAUCAAAAUCUAUAAUGAAAUUAUUUAAAAAAAUAUCAGCUUAAAAUUAUAUUAUUUUAGAAUGGACCAUGCUUCGUCGGCUUUGCGGUGCAUGUAACCCAACCCAAGGAUAUGGUGCUACCUAAGCUAAAAAGCAAAGUCUUACUUAUUUAUAUUAAAAUAUUCAUAGCAAAUAUUAUAUAAUAUAUAUAUUAUGUAGAGGUAAUUAUGGGUCGAGUAAGGUUCGGGCUGUAACAAAAAUUUUAAGCCUGUUUUAUAGGCACGGGUUCGGCCCAAAAAAUGAGCCUAAAAUUUUGUCUAAGUUUGGCCCGGAUAAAAAAUUAAAAUCCAAGCCGGUCUCGUCCAUAUUAAAAAUUUUUAUAUUAUUUUUAUAUAAAAAUAAAUUUAAAAAAGAUAAUAUAUCAAAUAUACUAAAAACAUUAUAAUAAAUGUUGUUCAACAAAAUAAAAAUAUUUAUUUAUACUUAAAUAACACUAAGAUAGGUGCAACUUAACAAGCAAAAGCCUCUAAAAUAGUAGUAAAAUUAACAAUAAAACAAUAAUUAUACAAUAUCCAAAUAAUAACAAUAAAAUAGUAGCAAUUUAAUAGUGAAAUGAAAGCAAAAUAACAGAAAACAACAACAUUUUUUCUUUGUAAAUUCGGGCUGGGCCCAGACAAAAAAACUUACUGAGGCCCGACUCAUUUUCUAAAUGGGCCUUAUUUUUUUGCCCAAGCUUAUUUUUCGGGCCUAUAUUUUUUCCAAACCUACUCGCUUUUUGGACGGACCUUCAAGUUGAGUGGUCUGACCCAUGAUCAAGUCUAGUUAUAUGUAAUACCUUAAAUUAUAAAUAUAAAUUAGAUAUGCUCAUGGAUUUAGUGAAGUCAAUUUUAAACAUGAUAGUAAUACACUGUAUGCUUACUCAAAUAUGAUCCUACUCGAAAUAUGGAUCUAAAAUUUUAUAAAUCCACUUGUAUCUGUAAAUGAUUAACUCAAGCUCAUUUUAAACUUAUUUAUAUUAUAUUUAAAAUGAUUGGAAUAUAUAUUAUUUUUAAUUUAAUAUUUAAUAGAUUUUUAUUUAUUAAAAUUAUAUAUAUGCAACUAACAUCUAUUUAUUAAAAUAAUAUAAUAUAUUACAAAUUUAGAAAAAAGAUCGGAUUGAACCAAGAUCGAGCUUUAGAUGUUUGAAUCUAAGCUCGGUUGAUAUUUAAAACGAGUUUAAUAUUUUUAUUUAGACCUUCGUAAAUUUCAUAUAAAUAUUUAAAUUUAAAUAAAUUACUCGAAGCUAAGCUUAAUUUUUUAAAUCAUAAUUAAUAAAAAAUAAUUAUUUCCUCCUAAAUAUUCUGUAUUUUGUUUUUAUAAAUUCCAUUGAUUCUGUUAUAUGGAAAAUUCUAAAUAUAUGUAAUUUCUUCCUAAAUAUUUAAUAUUUUAUCAUUUCCUUUUAUUCUGUUUUUUGGCAAAUUUGUAGUAGUAGGUAGCAAACAACUUGCAACGCCAAGUCAACCGACGUCCUCAAAGCAGAGCGGCACAGUGUUGACUGAGAGAUUUAGCAAUUUUUUUUUAAAAAAUUCAAAUUAUUAUUAGUUAUAGUUACCGACGAAGCACUAAAUGAAUCCGUCCCUUCCAACGAGAAAAAACCUCAUAAAAAAUUAAAAGAUAGAAAAAAAUCGUAACAAGCAUAUCAUUGUCAGAUGAAGAAAAAAAUUAUCCCGAGUCAAGGAGGCCAUGGUUGACGUUAACCAAUAACACUCAACUUACAUAAUGUAUCAAUCACUAGAUCUAGAGGUGAAUCUGAGGAGCAGGUGAGGGGCAUGGUUAACGUUGACCAGCAACACUCAACUUACAUAAUGUGUCAAUCACAGGAUUCAGUGACAAAUCUGAGGGGCAGGCAAGGGUUGUGUCCCCCUAAUCAUUUUUCAAUUCAAUCCUUUUAUAAAUAAAUAAAUAUAAAUAAAUAUAUAAUAAAUUACAUGUUGGCUCCCCUUAAAAAUAAAAAAUUAUGUUUCGUCCUUUCAAAAAUUAUGAAAACAUAAUAAAUUUAUAUUUUAAUCUCUUGAAAAUUUAUAAGUAAUUCCAAUCUCCACUAAUUUUUUUUUUCUUCUAAAUCUACUCUUGAUUUGAUGGAAAAUGGUUGAUAUUGACCAACAACAUAGCUUAUAGAAGAAAUCACCCAAUGAACUAUCGUAUGUCAAAAUUCAAACGUCGACCUUCACCAAAUUCCAUUAUUUAAAUUAUUUAAAUAUAUAUAUAUAUAAAAAAUUUAAUUAAUUCAGAUUUGGAUUUUAAAAUAAUAAAUAAAAAUAAAUUUACAAAUUUAAAUGUUAUAAAAAUUACAAAUAUUCAACAAAGGGGUCAAUUUUAGGCGGCUCUAGUUUAUUACACAGAAGAAAAAAUGGACCACCGAGGAUGCUUGCCUUCCAAUAUAAUAUUAGUAAUAACAAUAAUAAAUUAUGGGAAUGAGUUAACUAACCAUGUACCAACAAGAAAUUAAAUACUCAAAUUUUAAAACAAUAAGAAAGAGAAAGACUACCAUAAAAUUUCAAAAACGAUGAAAAAUACCAAUAAGUUUAAUUUUUAUAUGUCCCAACUUCUAAUUAAAUGGAAAAAAGAAUACCAAUAUGAUUAUCGAUAUAUUUAAUAAAAGUGUUUAGUCGAUUGAGUUUUAACUCGAUUGUCACGAGUAUUAUUACUAAUGCAAGAGAAUGUGAGUUUGAGUGUACUGAAACGCAUUAUUCUCCUAUUUAUAGAUUGAUGAGGGAGCUAUGAGUAGUUCUAGAUAUUGUGUAAAAAAAUAAAUAUGGUCAGAAUCUAUAAUGAGAGUAUUCAAUAAUAAUAAUUGUAAGUGUUUAGGUAUUAAUAUGAUUUGGGUUUAGAAAAUUUUUAAAAUAAAACUUUUAGUAUAUGAUUUACAUAAUUAAAAAUAAAAUAAAAUAAAAAUAUUAAAUAUGUAAAAAGUUUACACGAAUAAUUCUUUCCAAUUUUUUUUAUAUAGAAAAUUUCUCCCCCUUUCAACUUCUUUAUUUUUCUUGUUUUAUCCGUCAUUCUAAUCACUCAAUAAUUAUUAUCUAAAUAAAAUAUUGAAAUCAUAUUUUAAUGUCACGAUUUUAAUAUGGGUUUAAUUGAUGGAAUAUUUCAAUUUAAUUAUAUUUUUAUUAUAUUAUUAUUUAUGUAUUUUUAUAAUUAAAUUUAAAUAAAUUUUUAAAUAUUAAAUCAUAUUAAUUAAAUUAAAAAAUAUAUUGUUGAUAAUUAAACUUGAAUGAAUUUGAUAUAUAUUAGUACAUUGUUUGUUUACUCAAACCAGAUUAAUCUAAAGUAUAGGUAUAAAAUUUUGCAAAAGUCCGUUCAUAUUUAUAAAUCACUAUUAUAAGUUUGUUUUAAGUUCACCCAUAUUAUUUCCAUUUUAAUACUUUAGAUGGGUUUUUAAUUAGAUUUUUUUGAACGAAAUUAAUUUUUUUUAUAGAUAAGUACAAAUACAAGCUCGAGGAAUUACAAUGUCGAAUCAAAUAAUUACAUCAUAAGUAAAUUAAGAACUGAUACAAUCCAGACUAUAGCCAAUAAACUAAUUGAAAUAAUUAGACUAAAACUCACUCAUGACAACCACACAUGAGAGGACUCGAAGACCAACACAUAAAAUUGUGCAUGAUAAAACCCGAACUUAGGUGCUUGAAUCCAAAGCCUUCGCCUUUCCCAACUGAAUCAAGGCUUCAUCAACAACUUAACAUAAUGCUUACAUAGUAUUGUAUUAUUGUAUAUUUAAUUUUAUACGAUAUAAAUUACAUAACAUAAAUUGAGCCUUAAAUAUUAAAGUUCAAAUUUAGUUCAUAUUUUAAGCAAACUUAAAUUUUCCGUUAAAACUCGUUUUUUAAAUAUCGUACUUUAUCCAAACUCUCGCACUUCAACAAUAACUUAAUCCGAUCCACAAACAAGUCAAAGCUUUAACGCAGUCUUUAGAUUUCUAAAUUUAAAAUAACGCAAUGCAAUGCAAUGUAAUUUAUUAUUUUUUUCUUAAUAAAAGAAAAUAUUAUGAUUAUUUAAAAGAAAAAAGAAAUAAAAUUCAAAGCAACGAAUCCAAAUUCACACCUAUAAAUACACCAAACAACCAACUACCUCUACCUGCUUCUAGUUUAGACAACCUUCCGGUUCGCCUGUCAUUCAACGGUACUUACUCCAUUUAUAUUUUCUCUACAAUUUCAUUUAGAUUUCGUUUAGAUCUGAUUUGAAAAAGUUUUGAUUUGAUUUUCGAAGUUUUUGAUUUGGUUGUAAAAUUUUCAGAGAGAAAAACAAAAAAAAAACACUCCCGAAAUGGCACGCAAGAAGAUCAGAGAGUACGAUUCCAAGAGAUUGUUGAAAGAACAUUUCAAGAGGCUUUCCGGUAGAGAUUUGCCAAUCAAAUCUGCACAAGUUAGUUCCAUUUCUCCUUCUAGAUCUCGCUGUUCGUUUCAAAGUUAUCGAUAUUUCUGGUUUUUUUAGUUUGAUUUGUGUUAGUGCUUCUUUGCUGAUUAAUUUGUUCAAUCUUUCGUUCUAGAUCUCGCUCUUCGUUUAUAUUUCCUUUUUUAAAAAAAUAAUUAUAAUAGUAUUUCUUUACUGAUUAGUUUGAAUUCAUUUUUAGCUCACUUUCUCCUUCCAGACCUCGUUAUUCAUUUCGAAGUUCAUCUAUAUUUCCGGUUUUUUUAGUUUGAUUUGUAUUGGUGUUUCUUUGCUGAUUACUUUGUUCAAUUUCUCGUUCUAGAUCUCGCUAUUCAUUUAUAUUUCCUUUUUUUAAAAUUUGAUUUAUAAUUGUUUUUCUUUGCCGAUUAGUGUGAAUUCAUUUUUAGCUUAUUUUCUCCUUCUAGACCUCGUUAUUCAUUUCAAAGUUCAUCGAUAUUUCCGGUUUUUUUACUUUGAUUUGAAUUAGUGUUUCUUUGCUGAUUAUUUUGUUCAAUUUCUCCUUCUAGAUCUCGCUAUUCAUUUAUAUUUCCAUUCCUUUUUGUUAAUUUGAUUUAUAAUAGUUUUUCUUUGCUGAUUAGUUUGAAUUGGUUUUGAGCCAUUUUCUCCUUCUAGACCUCGUAUUGGUUUCGAAGUUCAUCAACAUUUCCUCUCUCUUUUUAGUUCGAUUUUUAUUGGUGUUUCUUUUCUGAUUAAUUUGAAUUGAUUUUUAGUUCAAAUUCUCGCUCUAGAUCUUGCUAUUCAUUUCAAAGUUCGUCAAUAUUUCCUCCUUAAAAAAUAAAAAUUGAUUUGUGUUUGUAUUUCUUUGCUGAUAAAUUUGAAUUUUUAGUUCAAUUUCUCACUCUAGAUCUCGUUAUUCAUUUCAAAGUUCACCAUUAUUGUCUUUUUUAAAGUUUGAUUUGUGUUAGUAUUUCUUUGGUGAUUAAUUUGAAUUGAUUUUUAGUUCAUUGUGUCCUUCUUGAUCUCGCUUUUCAUUUUAAAGUUCAUCAAUGUCAUUUUUUUUAUUUUGAUUUGUAUUAGUGUUUCUUUGCUGAUAAAUUUGAAUUUAUUUCAAAGCAAAUCUUAGAAAAAUACUGUUCGGCUUUUAGAAUUUCCGGAUCUAGUAUAAAGUUAGAAGGUCCGGUAGCUUUAACUACUCUUAGUUUUAUGAAAUAAAAUUCGUUCCAGAUCAGGAAGUUUUUUAAAUUUGAAUAUGAAUUUAAGAUAUUGAUCUUCCUUAAUUCCUUGAUUUAUGAUUAUUUUAUGAAAUUGAACAUUGACUAAUUUGUUUGGUUGUGUCACUGAUUUUAGAUCAUAGAAUCGAUUCUAUCAGCUUUUAGAAUUUCUUGAUCCAGAAUUAAGUUAGAAGAUUGAGUUGCUUUAAUUACUCUUAGUUUUAUGAAAAGAAAAUUUACAGGUCAAGAAUUUUUGAAAAUUUAAUAUGAAUUUAGGAUAUUGACCUACCUAUUCAUUCAAUGAUUUAUAAUUAUUCUAUAGAAUUGAACUUUGAGUAAUUUAUUUGGUUGUGCUGCUGAUUUUAGAUUACGGAAUCAACUGAUUUCGAUCAGCUAGUAGAGAAGGAGCCAUGGCUUUCGUCACAGAAACUGGUUGUUAAACCUGAUAUGUUGUUCGGUAAGCGUGGGAAGAGUGGUUUGGUUGGCUUAAAUCUGGAUUUUGCUCAAGUUAUUGCUUUCGUGAAAGAGCGCCUUGGCAAAGAGGUUCACUUUCGGUUUUGUACAUUUUAGUCAUUAAUUUGUCAUUAUUAAAGGUCAAAGGUUCGAUUUUAUGCUAACCUCUCGUGAAUUACAGGUGGAAAUGAGUGGAUGCAAGGGACCUGUUACAACUUUCAUUGUUGAACCUUUCAUCCCUCACAAUGAAGAGUUCUACCUUAACAUUGUCUCUGAACGACUUGGUUGCAGCAUUAGCUUUUCAGAGUGUGGAGGGAUUGAAAUUGAAGAGAACUGGGAUAAGGUACUUUGAGAUGAUCUAAAACUGGUACUCGGUUAGUUUUUGUUUCUUGUUUCGAUUUUACCUUAAUAGUUUCCUAACUAAGUUGAGGUACCCUUCAUAUAGGUCAAGACCAUAUUUGUCCCAACCGGGUUGCUUUUGACAUCAGAAACUUGUGCUCCACUUGUUGCAACCCUUCCCUUGGAGGUAAUUUUUCCAAAUAAUUAAUGAUUCAUUGAGCCGUCUUUGCUUAACUCGAGCAUGUUUCUUCGUCUUCAUACGGACAACUUCAUCAGAUAGAUUUUCCUACUACAUCAGCAAAUCAAAACGUAUGCAUACUGUAACAUGCUCUUUCAAUCUUUAACUAAAUAUAUGUUGUUUUCAUUAUAGAUCAAAGGAGAAAUCGAGGAGUUCAUCAAAGUGAUCUUUAAUCUGUUUCAAGGUAUGGCAUAUAUAUAUCUUUCUUGAAUCUAAAACUAUUCAAACUGACAUUCGGUACUUUGUAAUUAACUUUUUCGAGUUCGAAAAUGUCAGAUCUGGAUUUCACUUUCCUCGAGAUGAACCCUUUCACGCUGGUUGACGGAAAGCCUUAUCCUUUAGACAUGAGAGGCGAGCUGGAUGACACUGCUGCUUUCAAGAACUUCAAGAAGUAUAUAUACCCCCCCUUUAUCAGUAGUUUGAUCAAUUUAUUGUUUCAACAUGCUAUGUGGAGUAUCAAUAAAAUUCAUCUGAUGCAAUUUCAUUUCUUUUGUAGGUGGGGUAAUAUCGAAUUCCCAAUGCCUUUUGGAAGAGUUAUGAGUGCAACCGAAAGCUAUAUUCACGGGCUAGACGAGAAGGUAUGUUAGAUUUAAUAGAUAGUUCGCCUUGCAUGCACAAUCUUCUUUUAUUUGCUAAUCACCCAAUUGGACGGGAACCUCGAGCUGUAUAUGAUAACAUAUGGACAUUUUAUCAAUCACCCCGAAUCCUCUGUUCCGUUUUCCAUCUAUUUCACAAUAUAUGAACUCUUCUCCGGAAAAAAUGGUUUAAAACAUGUUGCAGUUCAUUUAAUAGCUUCAUCCACACGUACGGUAUUAACUUAAAAAAUAUAUAUUGCAGACCAGUGCAUCGUUGAAAUUUACGGUGUUGAACCCUAAGGGACGCAUUUGGACAAUGGUAGCUGGAGGAGGUGCAAGUGUCAUCUACGCUGAUACGGUGGGUUAUUUUCUUUUCACUUUCCGGGUUCUCAAUAUAGGACUAAAAACCCUGCAAUUUUAAGAUAUCAGUAAUGUGUUUGAUUUACUUGUGUAAUUCAUUGCCUGAUCAGGUUGGAGAUCUUGGUUUUGCUUCUGAGCUCGGAAAUUAUGCAGAAUACAGUGGAGCACCCAACGAAGAGGAAGUAUUGCAGUAUGCCAGAGUAGUUAUUGAUGUAAGGAACUCUAGCCCUUCAUUCACAUUACAAUGUUGCUAAAAGUAGAAAUCAGGAUCUUGUACUUGAUCGGUUAAUGCCGUCUCUAACUUUUCUUGAAGGCACCACAAAACAUUAUUUGAGUAAUUUCUGAUGUAAAACUUACAAUGCAAUCAUAAGCAUCUUAAGCAUGUGAUUUUGGCUGUACAAAUAAUUUCAUUUUUCCUUGAUAGUGUGCAACCGCAGACCCUGAUGGUCGCAAAAGAGCCCUCGUAAUUGGCGGAGGAAUAGCCAACUUUACUGAUGUCGGUGCUACAUUUAACGGCAUUAUCCGAGCCUUGAAGGAGAAGGUAAGCUUCACUAUAGUGGUGUUUUCACUGUUUUGCUUCUCUCGUUGUCCGCCUUUACUUACUAAUAAUAACCGUACGUCCAAAUUUAUACAGGAAUCAAAGCUCAAAGCCGCUCGGAUGAUGCUAUACGUGAGGAGAGGAGGUCCAAAUUACCAGAGGGGCCUCGCGAAAAUGCGGGCACUUGGAGAGGAAAUCGGAAUCCCUAUCGAGGUAUCCAUACCAUAUAGACAAACGAUUAUUGGUCUACAACAUUUUCCAAAAUAAAAAAAUUUGCUGAUAUUUUUGUUUCCUAUUCGGCGUGUUUCUCUCGUAGGUUUAUGGUCCCGAAGCUACGAUGACCGGUAUUUGCCAGCAAGCUAUCCAAUACAUCAGUGCCGCUGCCUAAGUUGUCGGUUCGGGUUCAUGUUCGGUCUCUGUUUUUUUUUUCUCCGUUUCAAGUGGGUCAUUUUCAUUAGAUUUCCCUUUUGCCAUGUUACUGAAACAUUUGGAAUUUAUUUGCUGAAAAGUGAACAUGAAAUCUUAGGCAUAAAUGGCAUUUGUCAGCAAUAAAGAUCUUAAAAGUUUUCUACAUCUUUUGUCUCCCCAUCUUUAUUUUCUUAAUGACACUAAUAAUCCUCGUCUUUCUCAAUCUAACUCUAAUUUUUUUUUUAAAAUACCCAUGCCAAACAUAUUUUUAUAUUUAAGUAUUUUUAAAAAAUUGAACAUACUUAUGUUAAGCACAAUCUUGUAUUCGAUACUCAUUUAUGUGGAUGCUAAUGUAAAGGUCAAAAAGUGAGAGAGAUUUGGUACGGACAUUGUUGUAAAUAACUUUGUCUUAAUUGAUAAUUUCAAUGAUUGUUGAUAAUUAUCAUAUGAAUAUAAUAUAAAUUGAUAAUGGCAAUAUAAUAAAACUCAUCUUAAUCGAAUAUAUAUAUAUAUAUAUAUAUAUAUAUGUGUGUGAGACGAACACUCGUAUCUACACCUACAUCUGAACCCAAGAUAGAUAAAAAUAUAUAUAUUUUGACUAUCAUGCAGCUUCUCAAAGUCACUUUAUCAAUUAACCCAAUUCUUUCAUAACAACCUUCAUGGUUUUUUAAAAAUAUAUAUUUUUAAUAGUAUGAAUUUUUUUUAAAAAAAAAUCAACAUACUUAUCUCGUACAAAUAUUUAUAUUCAAUACUUACACUCGAAUUUAUUAAAAAAUUCUUUUCUACAAACCAAUAAAAAAACUAUUGAAAAUACUUAUAUCAUACAAAGAAUGAAUAUAUAUAUAUAUAUAUAUAUAUAUAUAUAUCAUAUUUAACCAAACAUUAACUUCUACAAAUUUUAAAAGGUUAAAUUUUGUUAUUAAUCUAUAUACUAUAUGUAAGUUAUGGAUUUGAUCUCCUUAUUUUUAUUUGGUCAUUUUUAAUCAUUGUUAUUUUCAAAUUUUAAAGUUUCAGUCUUAAUCAAUUGAUAAUUGUUAAAUUAAUUAAAUUAAAUUAUUUUCAAAAUCUUAUAUGAUAAACAUAAUAUCAAUUAUGUAAUGGCAUUUUUAACUUGCUAUUUUCAUAUAUUAUUAAAAAAACCCCUCAAUCAAUGGAUUUACCUGCUUAUGGUUGUGUUAAGAUUGAAAUUUCGAAAUCUGAAAAGUAUAAAAAUUAAUAAUAAUUCAAUAAGAGAACAUGAACUCAAUUCACAACGUUUUGCAUAAUACAAGACUAAUAUCGAAAUUUAACCGAAUAGAGCUAACAACUACUAUUUAGGUUGAGAUUAAAUUUUAAAAUCAAAUUUCUUAAUUUUAACACUUCUAAGCAGAAUUUUAAACACUCCCAAGCUUUUCAAAACAAGAUUACAUUUCAAAACAUCCCUAAAACAACAUUACGCCUUUCAAAGCAAAAUCCAUCACAAUCUAAUAGUAAAAUUUGACAAUCACAAAACAAGAUUACAUUUCAAAACAUCCUUUAAAAGAACCCAAUAAAAAUACCAGAAAAACAAGCAUAAAAUUAUAGCCAUGAAUAAAGAAGAACUCAUAGAUGGAGUCCAUUGCCUUUGUGUGACUUGCCGGUUUGCCACUGCAUUAGCCAAAGCCUCUGCUAGCUAGCUACUCUGUAGGAACCUAUCCUCCUCCUCCUCCUCCAUGCAUGCAGCCAUGUGAGUGAAGCACAAGAGAAAAGUGCUUUUAAUUCAUUGGAGGAAGGUGAAAUGAGGAAUCCAUAGCCCUAAACCCUUUCCAUGCUUUUUGUGAAGACCCCAUGGUUAUGAUUGUUUUUUUUUUCUUUGCUAAAAUGAUGCUAUACCUAUGUAUCAACUAUGAUAAUCCGAUGGGACGUCUCUCACAAGCUAGUGGAGAGAGCUUGGCUCUUGAUAGUGGUCUUUAAAUAGCU
rnacentral:lncRNA from 1 species